UUUUUUUUUUUUUUUAGAAUAAGGAGCCUCUGGCCUAGGCGUGGGCACGUCUAACUGCUAUAGAGUCCAUAGAUCCUGAAUGAAAAUUCCUUUCCUCAAGCGUGACCACCUGGUGUGGGCGCGUCUAACUGCUAUAGAGUCCGCAGAUCCUGAACAAAAAUUCCUUUCCCUCAGGCGUGACUACCUGGCGUGGGCAGGUCUAACUGCUAUAGAGUCCGCAGAACCUGCACGAAAAUUUCUUCCCCUCAGGCGUGACCACCUGGCGAGGGCACGUCUAACUGUUAGCUUCCUGCCACAAAAGCAACAAAUCACUAAAUGCAACUAACACUUAACAAAAAUUCCAAAAAGCAUAAGAAAACUAAAAUAAAGAGUCUUGGGUUGCCUCCCAAGCAGCGCCUUUCUUUAAUGUCUUUGGCUAGACAUUGCCAUAUUUAUUCACGGAGAAUAAAAUCUUGUGACUCGUUUCAGUGCUUCAUCCUCUAUAUAAUCCUGAUAGCCCUCGUAAAUAGAGUAAUUCUUGAGCACACGAGAUACGGGCUUCUAUGGACUAGUAAAUGGCGCCAAACAAGUCAACGAUAAUUUGCAUUCUCCACUCUCUCCUCCAUCACACGCCUUUAUCGGUUCAAGAUAUUUGACCAUCGUAGCUCUUAACUUAUUCCUGUCAUGAAACUCAAAAUCGUCUGGUAUGAUAAAAUCAAUCUCACUAACAGGAAUUAAAGAAUAUGAGUCAGGAAAAUAUUGAUCAAGAAAUGGAGGAGAUGUCACCGCAUUUGGAGAUUGUUCACUGGAUUCAUUCACUUGAACCAUUUGAUGUUGGGUCUCAUGUCUUGCACUUCAACUUCCUUUUCAACUGUAAUUUUAGAUCCUUCUUUUUGAGAUUCUCGCAGCACCAUGUCAUUCGUCAGGAUAAUUGCACUCUCAUCUUCCUCAUGGUCGAUAAUAGUUUGUGAGGGCAAUUCUUCACUUUGAGAAACCAAUCGAUUUAUUCUGGAUGUCAAUAGACAUAGUUGAUCUGCCAGAUAAUUCAUUGCAUCCUUCAUCAUCCCAUUCCUCAUUUGUGUCUCCUGUUGGAAUUGGUAUGUAUUAGUAGUUAUUGGUUCAACUAUCUCUUCAAGAGACAUACCUGACAUAGAUGACGAUUCUUGAGACUCAUACUGCUGAAAAUUCAUUGGCCCCGUUGUAUAAUUAUAAUUGGAGUUAUCCCACCCUCCUUGAUCAUACCCGUAUGGAUUAGGGUUAUACCACGUUUGAGACCAGGGUGAAAAAUCUCCAUAAUUAUUGAGUGGGACACUCAGAUUAUCUUGAUAUUCGGGGCACAUACUGGUUGAAUGAUCCCUGGCAUAACAAAUUUUACAGGUUGCAGCAGCCAUUCUUUUUCUAAUAGAGUUUACUGCCUCUGCAUGUGCAAACUUAGAAAAAAAACUAGUUUCAUCGCCUUCCCCGGAAACAAAAUCCAGUCUAUCACCAAAAUACGGAGUGUUAGAAGCCAUAAACUAUAUAUAAAAAAAAUAAGAGAAAAAUAAAUUAAAAAAAUUAAAAAAAAUGAACUUAAAAAGAAACAAAUUAAUCUGGCACCAGUCCCCGGCAACGGCGCCAAAAAUUGACAGGUGCCGAACCUGUGCAAUAAUAAAUACCUACUCGAGAAAAAUAUAGAUUUUGUAUAUAGCGGUGAGCAGGGUCGAAUCCACAGGGAAUGGGGAUAAUUCGUUUCUUCUAGAGUCCAAGGUAUGGGGGGUUUUGGAUUAAAUGCUAACUAAAUAAAUUAACUGCAGAAAAUAAUUGAUUAAGAGAAAUAAUUAAGGGAAAACUCUAGCCAAGGGUACACUUCAGAAGUGGUUCAGGCACUGAUCAUUGAUUCACAGAUAAUUCCACAUUUAUUAAUAGACCAGUUAUAGUUGUCAUGCACGCGAUAAACAACCAACCUUUCCUUAAUUUCUCGAUAGUUAAGGUACGACCGUUAACUAUUUCUCUAACCAAAAAACAACCCUAGGUACGACCGUAGGAUUUAAUUUCUAGAUUGCAUUAAUAAUUAGAAAGGCCCAAUUCUAACUAACAAACACGCUACGAGGGUUUGUUUAAGUUAGAUCAUAUGCUCUCCUGACAUAAACCCAAUUACGCCAGUUGCUACUGAGAUAAAGAUAACGAACAAUUACGGAUUCAAUUAUCCCUAUUUAGCAAAAUAGCCUAUGUGAAUAAUUAAAUAUUGCGCAUCUAUUCAAUCACUCACACGAGCUAUAGCAAUUAAAAGCAGGAAACAUAUAAAUACCAAUAAAUUAAGGAAGCAAUUAAAAUAAAUUAGAUCUCACAGUAAUUGUUGAACCAAAUCUUCAGUUGUCCCCUUGACUUGAAUUAAGAGGUUAGUUCUCCAUUAAUGGAGAACAACCAUGCGAAAGAGCUAAGAAAAGAAAACUAAAACUAUACUAAAAACCUAAACUAAAAAACUAUUCAAUCCCCCAACCUUCUGCACGUUUCUCCCUUUUUAAAGCCAAAAGAAAGUCUAAUGCUUUCCCCCUUUUCCGUGGUCCCCGCACGAAUUGAGAGUUAAAGUCCAAAAAGGAAACUCUUCCACAAGGUGGGGCCCAUCCGAAUUGCUUCUUGAUUUUAAGCCUCUGUACGUUCCUAAUGACUAAGGCUUCUUAUCUCGCUGGUCCCACCAAAAUUGAGAGUCCAAAUGCUCCAAAGAAGGUCCUGCGCCAUUCCUUGUAUCAUGUUUACUCUUGGUAGGACUCCUAGUCAGCAAAAAGGUAAAUGGAAACCCGGUCCUUCUUAGCAAUGUGGGCCAAGUCUGUGGAGUAUUUAGAAGUCUCCAUAUUCUCCAAAAAGUACCUCCUUUUUUGUAGUUUUCUGCUCUAUUCCCUGAAAUUGAGUCCAAUACCAAAUAUAAGUAAAUAUUAAUAAUUAAAACAAUAUUUGGCAAGGAUAAAGGGGAAAAUUAGCAAUAAAAUAACCAACAAUUAACACCCUAUCAGCAAAGCAAACAAAAUUGGGGUUGCAAGUACUGUUAGAUUCGGAGCUAUAUGAUGCUAUCCUUGUAUAAAGGAGGGGAAAUUGGAAAAAGGCCACUGACCAGAGGACUUUGGAUCACGAGGCGUGCCCACGCUUUACAGGACUUUUGCCCCUUAAAAAAAAAAGGAAAAAAAAAAAACCUGAAGAGACCUCAUGACCAGAGGACUAUGGGCUACAAGGCGUGCCCACGCCUUGCGAGCAGCCGCAAAAAAAAAAAACAAAAAAACAAAAAAAUUUGGGGCACUUGUACAGGGUGUACAGCAAAUGGAAACUGCCCUGCUUGUGAAAUUUCCCCGGUAAAGCACUGUGGUUAUGGGUGGGUUUCGGACAUUCUCUUGACACUUUACCCCUAUCUAUACCUUCUUAACUCGCCUUUCACUUGAGCCCCAUUACAACCCUAUUAAAGUCCCUUUGAUUUAUGUGUUUAGUUCACUUUUAAGUGGUGGAGAUGUGAUAAAUGUGCAAGCCUAUGGUAAUGGCAUUCCGUGAUGUUGAAUUGAGCGUUCCUAGUAUUCAUAUAUAUUCUUUGAAUUACAACAUGUCCGGUGUGUUCUACCUUGGUGAUAUUGUCAGGGACCCUAGAUGCUUGUGUUAGUAUAGACUAGACUACUACAUGACCUCUGCUCUCUUGGUUGUACUUCUGAGCUCCGAAAUGCUUGAGGCAAGCAUUGUCUAGGUGUGGGGGGAUUUGAUAGAGCCGUUAUUUGGCACGUUUUGCAUUGUCAUCUUGUUCUAAUUUUGGCUAUUCAUGGUGCUAAGAAAGGGAAUUUCACUCAUAUUUGAUAUUUGUGUGAAUUGUAGGUGGUUAGCAUUAAAAUGAUAUCGCGGGGUAAAUUUUCAGAAGACUUUUCAUUUCAGAGCGUGGCCAGCGCCUUAAAAGGAGGAUGAAACCGAAAGCCGGACUGCGGUCCACGUGAACCCGAAGCGUGGGAUCAGAACUCUGGAGACAAAGCUUUGCUCCAGGCCUUUGUUCCAGACGUCUUUUUCUUUUCUACGUCUCUUGUGCGGCGGAUAUAAAAAGCGAAAACAAGGAAGAUUCAAGGGGCAUCUAUUUUUGAGGCUUAGUUUUCUUUUCCUAGGUUUGUCAGCAGUCAGCCGCUUUUGACUGGGGGCUUUUGGCAUUCUUCAGCCGCAACUUAGACUAGUUUAGGAGUUCACCUUUUCAAUCUUUUGCUGUAGACGCCUUUGACGUUCGCUUUUGAUUUGCUACAAUUUUCCAUCGCUUUUAUCCUUUUUCUUGACUCUGCUCCAGGAGCGACGGAAUAUAAGGAAAUGAACCAAGGGAAUUUCCCAUUUGUUCCUUAGUUAAUUCACAUCGCUCCGCUCCUUGGAAUUAAUUGUUUGGAUGUUUGCGUGGAUGAAAUCAAUUAAAUCGCGUGAGCUUGGCAUGAUGAGGAGCAGCUAAUUUUCUCCUCUACCCAAAGGGUGACGUGAGGCGCGGUCCAUAAUAUCUGUGAGAUCUAAUCAAGCUUUCAUUAUUUCUUCCAAUUCGUUAUUAUUCGUGCGUUUUCUGAAUUAAUUGUUCAUGGGUAUUUGAUUAAUCGAAUAUCAACGGCCGGGUAUUUGAUUUAAUUUAAUAGCCUACUGCCACGUUAAUUAAAUAGAAUCCGUAAUUGUUCAUUUAGUUAACACCCCGUGGCAACCACCAUAAUUGGUUUUAUGAUGGGGAAACGCAGGAUCUAGCUUAAAUAAACCCUCUUAGCGUGUGUUAUUGGUUAGGGUUGGGUUCUUCUAGCUUUAAUGCAAUUGGGUAAUUAAAUUCCUAUGGUCGUACCUAGGGUUGUUAUCUGGUUAGGGAAGCAAUCAAUGGUCGUACCUUGACUGUCGAAAAGGUAAGGAAGAACUGGUUGUCAGAGCUUAUUGAUAACUAUAACCAACCUAGUGAUGAAUGGGUGAAAUAUCUUUGCAUCGAUGAUCAUUUAAUUGGACCGUGCCUGAGCAGUUGAUCCUUUGGGUGGAAUCUUAUUAAUUGCUAUUUUUAGUGAAUUGUGCUUUGUGAGUUAGUUCUGAAUUUAGUUCGCUUUAUUUUUUUUAUUUUACUUUUAUUUUAUUUAUUUAUCUCCCAUUGAAAAUCCCCCAAUUUUGUUCUACUAAUUUGGAAAGAAAUAAUUUCCUACCCGCUCCCUGUAGAAUCGACCCUACUUGCCAUUGUACGCGAAAUUAAUAUUUUUAUAGACAAAUCCGGUAUAUCGGAUUAAGCAAACUCUUCGGGAACAGGAUGAAUCAAGUAACCCAUUGCACACCUAGGGUCCCUGCUCCAGUAAUUGGAUUUGUUCUAUAAUUAUUUAAUUGAGGUGGUAAUUAGAACUUUUUAGUAAUUAUUAUUGCACAGGUUCGGCACCUGUCAAGAAUCCUGAUUUACGUACUUGACAUUGCAACCACAAUAAAUGAUAAAUGACAUGGACAAAGAAAGAGGCCAGUACAAACGCACUCAAAGCAAGCAAGUACUAAAGCCAUCAAAAGCCGGAACAAAAAAUUGAAUACACGCAACAUAAUAAGAAUAAAAUCGACAUUGACCAAGUUUGGUCUUUAAAAAAUCAUUCAUCAAAGAUAAAAUGAUCCCUCUUCACAACAAUACUCACCUGAAAGAUCCAAGUCUGGCAUUUGUGUAUGUGGCUUGUCUAAGCAACCCAGCACUCAAACCCUGCUCAGAAUUUCAGGAUGACAUGAAUAAGUGAUGCAUAAGUUCCCAAAAAAGUUCCUUGAUGGAAGCACAAAAGACAUGCGUAACAGUCCAGAAAAAAAAAAAGAGCAGCCACAUUUUGAACUGACAAAACAGAGAGUUUGGGGAAGAAUCAUUAGCAAGGAUCAAGCCAAAUAUUUACCCAAAAAAAAAAAUGAAAGCUCAAAAUGAAUCUUGUAUAACAUAUGAGAGCCUGUAAGCCUACUCAAUAGUGCCUAUGGACAAUGGAACAACAGCUCCAUACAGAAUGAAAGCGACUGCAUGUAUUUAAAAUCUCUUAACUAAUCCUAAUAAAACAAUUAUUCAUACUACUUUUGGAUUUGAGGAUUAAAGAGAGUGCAAUUCCAAACGAAGAAAAACUGUGUCUUCUUCAAUUUGUCUUUUUAAGAGACUGACACUGUCUAAAUUGAAAUUUAUUUUGAUUAUAACAUUUGCCCGUGUGGAUAUACUUUCCUAAUAUUAUUAGAAAGUUUGCUCCAGUAUUUUAUACGAUUUGACUUUUGGUAAUCUGAUAAUCCAAUGAAGCUUGUUCCUGUUUACAUGUCCAAUAAAUAAACAUGCUUGCCAUUCUCCUUAGUUUUACUGCUCUUUUUCUUUGUAAGAAUAGUCAAAUUAAUUGUUUCAAAUCUUAAAGAUAUGGAACAGCAGAGUGAGACGAUGCAGCAUGAACAAAGCAGAGGUUCUAUGUAUUCAUUUGUUACAACUGCUGUCUUCUUUUUCACCACAUGUGUGUUUUUUAUGGCUAGAGCCUAUUGUUGUAUAAGAAAUGUUCAGAAAAUGUACUACAUUUAUCUGCCAUAUGCGAAAUUAUGUACAAGAUCUUCAAAUUCCCAGGCUAUGGGCCUGAUGUGGAAAUUGCUAAAGUUAAUUGCUUUUUAAUAUUCAUUUGUAUGAGAAGUUUUAAAUUAAUAGCUUGUGUUUGCAGAAGUUUAUGUCGAAGAAAAAUCUUUCAGUUACCUUUAUAAUGAGGAUGACAUUGUUGUUCUUAAGGAGUAAGUCCUAACUUAUGGUCUUGAUUCUGAGCUGUUGAUCAUCUUCUGAAUUUAUUCGAAGGCUUGAUGAUUAUUUGUAAUUAUGCAGGCCUGAGACAUAUGCACAAAUUAAUGUUCCAAAGCACUUGUUUGGUGAAUCUCUUCCAUACCUCCAGGGUAAAAAUGUCACAUGUUUUAUUUAUUUAGUUCCUUUUUCCUGUUCUACAUUGCAGAUAUUGUAGAAAUUUGUGUGUGCCAAAGGAAUGUUUAAAUUUUGGAUGAAAUGGCAGCUAACUUAUUUGAUUGACAUGCUUAAUGAUUAGAAAAUACACUUCAUGGACCUCAUGGAAUGCAGAUGAUAUGAAAGUUAAGCUGCAACUUUACGAUGAGAAGCCGAUGUCUGUGUCAAUUCCUCCGAAAGUGACAUGUACUGUUGCUGAGGCACAAGUUCCAAUAAACGGGUCUACAGCAACUCCUCAAUAUGUUUAUCACUUUUUAGAUUGUAGGCCGAAAAGAACCUCAACAUGUAGUAUUCAUAUUUGUCCAGAACCUAACCAGGCAUAGUUUGUAUAGGUGCUCCUGCUCUAAUGCUCUUUACAUCUCAUCUAUCUUGUUCAGAUUAAGUUGCUAUGCAAUAUCUCUGGUCCUCCUUUGGUUGUCAUUUUUCUGUCAUUGCAUUGCAACUUAAAUAGCUUGCAGCUGUGUCUUCAAGUGGUUGUGCUUGCUUGAUACUUGUAAGGAUUUUGUCUCAUCUGUAAGACUUCUGAAUGCUUUGACACAAAAUCUAGUAUCCCUCAAGAAUUUUAGUUUACCUCAAGUUUUUCGUGUUUGAAGUUGGUGUACAUAUUUAAACAAAUGUAUAGCUCUUGCAUAGUUUAAAAUUUCUCACACAAUUUUUCAGCAAAAGCAAAAUUUUGCUGGUGUUUCUUUGCAUUUCUGUACUUCAGCAAAAUUUUCUGUUGCAUGAAUAUGCUCCCGUCCAUAGUGUGUUCAUGUUUGUCGGACUACAAUUGAUCUUCCAGUGGUUUAAUGCCAGCAUGUUUUGUAUCAGUAAAGACGACUUCUAAGAGUGUGAGGUAUCAAUAUCUUUGGAUUUCUCUUAAAUGCUAAAAUUAGGAAAUGAAAAGGGCGUAAGUUGAGAACUGGAAAAGAAAUUUCUACUGUAUAGUCUGGUAAAGGCUUUGCAUAAUUGGAAAGGGUUCCUUCUUGUUAAGACCAUGUAUUACUUAUAGGAGAUGGCCGGUUGGUUUACAUGCAAUUGGUAUGUUUAUUAUUUAUGAAACUAAAUUUGUGAUUUUGUUGCUGAGAGGGUACGGCGCUGGUAUGUUGAAUCAGCAAAAUCAGUAACACAUGAGAGCAAGAGAUACAGUCAGGGAGAGUCUCUUUUGUUGAAUUGGUUGCAGUGACUAAUAUGUCCUCUGAAUAUGAAAUGACUUUGGUGGAUAUAAAUCUUCUUUUAAGUACUACCAAAGGAAUGAAAGUUUUAGACCAACAACUAAGUCUUUGGCACUAUGAGAUUUGUUCAGAAAGUCAAGCUUGCUAAUCUCCUAGUUCUGCUUCUUCCUUCUCUAAUUCUGAGUUCCUAGUUUCUCAUAAUUUUUCACUUUUACAGGUAUAAGAAGGUUAAGCUGGACAAUGGUCUCACAGUUCAGGUGAGUUGAUCGUGUUCUCACCUAUGAUUCAUGAUUCUUUUCUAGACAUUAUUACUCUGUAGCCGCUACCAGAUGUGAUAAAUUGCCAUUAUGUUAACCUAGCAAACGUGAUGCAGAACCAACAAUAAACAAAUUUGUCUUGUGAUGUUUAAAUGGAUGGAUGCACUGUUGUAAAUUGCAAUUUGAGACCGAUUUUCCUGUUAAACAAUUUCUGAAUGAGAUUACUGGACCAGAAACCGGGGAAACCAUGUGAAAGAAUGAGGUGAAGAAAUGUGUUGACAAGUAAUAAUCUGUGGAUCUUGGCUUUUUACUUGUGAGUGACUACAUUCGUGUGAAUGUGAUGGACACCACAUUCGUCAUGACUUCGGCCCAAUAAUGGAACCAAGCAAGCAUUUUGGACAAUGUUGAAAAAUUGAUGGAAAGUAAUUGAAGUUGGUAUUUAGAGCUUUUCUUAUAGAUUGCAUCCUUAAAAAGGUAUAGUGAAGGUUUGCAUAUAAUCAUGUCCACUAUAGAUGGUCCCUUUUUUGGUUUUGGGGAGGAGGUAACAAGUGAGAGAAAAUAUGUAGAAUACUUGCUUAGAAUGAAAUAUUUGGAACGUAAUUGUGCUAUUGUUUUACUGGAGUGUUCUGCCUAAAAGACGAAAUAUCCUAGAGAGACUUGUGUUUGGCAAGGAAGAGUUUAGUCUCCUCAAAUUUAUUUAUGUUUAAACCUGAUUGACAAUACCUGUGAAAAGAAGAGAGAAAGGAUGUACUCGUGAAAGAAACUUCUGGGGUCGUCCUUAGGAUCCUAGGAUUACAUUUGGUAAGGAACUACUGAGAUAGUCAUAGCUAAAACAGUUAUAGUAGAAAAGGGGUGGGCAAGAACUCUGGGGCCAAGAUCUUGGAAACUCUAUGCUCUUUUGGAGGAGAUGUGAAGGCAAAAAGCCGCCCUAGCAAAAGGAAAAGUACAGAGUUGCUUCAAGCAGUUCCUGUUUUUUUUCCUCUGCAUUUUUACUCAGUUAUCGCAUGCUUAUUGCAUUGUUUGUUUUGGUAAUACUGACACUUGGUGUUGGUUUACUUGGAGUUUUGCCUAAUACAUGUAAUUGGGCUGAUUUAUAAGAAGAAUCUUGUCCGUGACUUGGCAUAUUCUAGGGAUUGGUGAAGGGGAAGCAUUGUAUUAUUUUCUUAGUGUUCUACACAAAUAAAUUUGACAAGGAUUUCCGUAAUUGUUCAUAUUUUUUAUGUUGCCACUUGCAACCCAGAAUUGUUUUGAUAAAACUUAGCAUGUGGUGGCACUGUCAAAGUAAAUGAAUAGAUUGUUUUCUUACUCUUUUUAUGUACCCCCGUUUCUGUAGGUACCAUCUUACGUGUUAGCUGGGAGAAGAUAAUUAUCAAUACUGCCGAUAAUUCUUUCAUAAGCAGGUGAGUGUAAUGUGUGAUUCUUUUCCAUGAGAAAUUGAAACAUACGUCAUUCGCUACAUUUCCUGGUCGUCUUGGCAUCCCAAUACAUGGUUUUAGGAAUUUCUUAUUUCCUGUUAAGCUUAGUGCACGUUGACAUCUCUAUUCUUGUCACCUUUUGGUAAAUACCUAAUAGAUUGGGUUCAAUUCAGAUGCUUUCCAACUCAAGCUGCCUCAUUGGUUUCAUUUUUCCUGCUUUUUGUGGCUAUAUGUUAAUCCAUUCUAUUUCAGGAUCUUAAUAUCGUGUGGUGUCUUUUAUUUUGUGCAUUACAGAAUUUUGACUUUGCAAAUAUCCAAAAUGUACGUCUGACAGCACAUUUUCGUGUUGUUUCGCAGGGCUUAAUCUGGGCCCUUUUGAAUGCUCUGGAGUUUAUCGUUCAGGAUGUACCUUUUCUGCAGACACUCAUUAUAUAGGAUUAGUCCAAAUUUUGUCACUAUAGGUUAUGAAUGGGUUGAUGAGAAACAAGUGUUCAUUUCGGGGUUACUGCAUAUGCAAUAUUUCUUUUCAGUGAGAAUGUUUUACAUUUUGCAUAUUUAUGAGAAUCCCACAUUUUGCAUAUAUUUGCCCAGUGGUUUUGGGAAAAGAAUUCAGCAGUGACAAGAAUAGAAAAGGAAGCAUCUACUUGUAAUGUAACCCAUCUACCAAGGCCUAAGGGUAGCUGCAAAAUUGGACAGGCCAUUCAGGACAGGGACAACCAUGCCCCAUGGACUACCAUCUUCAAUGUGCUGCUCUACUGCAAAUAACAAUUGCAGAUGAUAAACGAGGUCUUAAAUGUGGCAGAUGAUAUAAAUCCACAACCAACCUCUUCAGACAGUUAAUUUCCUUCCAUCAUUCACAGACUAUUUCAGGGGGAAAAAAGAAUAAAGUACAUGAUAGGCCACAUCAUCUGAGACCAGAGAAGCUCUUAACUCCAUUAGCAAAACAGUACUUUAAAGUUAAAAAAAGAGAUGAAGACCAAGCUUGUAGAAGACUAGGAAACAUUCAGCAUUAUCCCAUUUCUCCUCUUCAAGAGCUCAAAGGUUUUAAGAUCGGAUUGGGAGAUUCCAGGACACCCCCGUGUCGAAAAAAAAAAUGCAUGUAUAGUAUAGUGCAGCAUUUCGACAUACAUAUACUUUAUUUUGCCAUCUUUUAGAUGAUGUUGUUGACGGUAUGAUGGUGUUGACGGUACAUGCAUGUGCCGCAGAUUUGACAAACCUCGCUAAUGUUGCAUUUUUUUUUAGUAAAACAUAUUACUUGACCUCUGAAAGAGAAGGUCGCGGAAAGCCUGUUAUCUUUUGGCUUUAGAUGGAAAUAUGGUCCUAUACUAUACAAUGGGAAUAAGCCAGCAAUAAUAUCGAGUAAUCCCCAUUUUAUUUUAUGAAGAAGAAUGGGAUCCCACUAGACAAAAUCUUAUCCAAAUAAAGAAGUUUGUAUCCGUGGAAAUAGACAUUCUGCAUGAACACAAUAAUAUAUAGCUCAAGAUGGCAUUAGUACAGCAAGUUUUAGUUUACACUAAAUUUUCCGGUGAAAUUGUUCAGUUUUUUAUUUAACUUCCUUACAAAGCAGGAUAAAAUAAUUACCAGUUGGACUAAUCUAAAGCUACCAUACUACUAGCAAACAUGCCAAGUGUUUCUGUCGUCUCCUAAUCUACAAAGCAGGACAAAAUAAUUGCCGUUGUCUCCUAAUCUCCAUCCCAUCAAGCGUAGCACCUUUGAGUUUUGGCAAGGAAUAAUCCAAAGUUGGAAGAUUCAAGUCCAGAUCGAAGCGGCCGGUUAACUUUGAGAUCAACUAUGGUGUUGGAAGAGAAUAUUCUUAUUCUUUGGGGAGAAAAACGGUUACCAACUGCGCCCAUGAGAGAAAUGUCAAGCUUCUGGACUCCACAUUCAAGUCCUGCAAUUAUCAACGACUCAAUUUCCAACCCAAACACUCCAAGAAAGAGAGAAGCGUCGAGUCGAGAAUUCCCCAUUUCUGACUCUGAGGAGAAUAACUCUCAGGCCAAAGUUUAUAAACUUGGUGAAGCGCACAUGUUCAAGAGAAGCGUCGGAGUACUCUUGGUCACAUUCAUCGUGAAACGCGGGUAAAGAUCCCCGGUACUGAAGGUCGAUAUUAGGAACUGAAGCAAAAAUGUACCGCCAUCUGGUGGAUAGAACUGAGGUGGCCGCUAAUUUUGUGGGGCGAUAUGACAAAAUGUGGCAGAGAACAGCAUCAGGAAGACCACUAAUCCUAUCAACCAUUCUUGAUUGUCUUCGGACUCUCAACCAACUCUCUUAUACAGACAAUAAUGUGGGAACUGAGUGAAAUGCCUUUGAUGAAUUAGCCGGUUGCGUUGAGUUUAGUUGAGAACUGAGAUGCCAAUCAUAAAUGCUACUACUACUAUUUUUCUUCCAAAAUCUUUACUAGAUCUCUUGGAAUCCCUUUAUCUUCCAUCUGAGGAAAUGGAGAUUUGCUUCGUUAAUAGUAAUUUACCUGAUGCAUGGCACACUUAAUUAGCCUUUCGGUUUUUCCCAGGAUUACAGAUGCAUGCGUCUCUAGAAUUGUACUUUAACAACAACAGUUACGUUGUAGACUUGUAGUACUAAUUAUAGACGUGGAGAAGCCUUAGAAAAGGAGAAAUCUACUGAGACACGAAAAAGAUAAAGAACAGAAUAUCUUCGUCAAAGAAAAAGAAAAAGAAAAAAGAACACAGAAUGUCACCCCGAGCUACCAAUUCCCUCAAUAAGCAAUUUCUUGGUGAUUAACAAAAAUGGAUUGAAAAGCUCUGCGUUAAUAUUUAGACUAAUUGUUUAAAACUUAAGGGUUUAAUCAGAACAACAGCAGUGGCAAAAGUCACAAUCACAACGUCCUCAGCAACACCCAGUGUCACAACAGUAACCAGUACCAAAACAGUCAUAACCAAAACAGCAACUGCAAUCACAAAUACAAUCACAUCCCUGUCCACAGCAGCCACCACCACCGGCUUUGUCAGUUUCCUGCUGCUUCUUGUUCUUGGUCUUUCGCCCCAUGAAUGGACAACAUGGAAAGUGAUACAGCAGUUAUUUGGCACAUUUUGCAUUGUCAUCUUGUUCUAAUUUUGGCUAUUCAUGGUGCUAAGAAAGGAAAUUUCACUCAUAUUUGAUAUUUGUGUGAAUUGUAGGUGGUUAGCAUUAAAAAUGAUAUCUUGAGGUGAAUUUCCAGAAGACUUCUCAUUUUAGGGCGUGGCCACGCCUUAGAAGGUGGACGAAACCGAAAGACGGACCAUGAUCCAUGUGAACCCGAAGCACGGGAUUGGAACCUUGAAACAAAAGUUGUGGGCCUCCUAACCCUUUGAAGACUACUGGCGGCUACAAAAGGCGAAAGAGACCAAAAGAAAAGGGAUUCACAUUUUUAAAUUAGGAAUUAGAUAGCUUUAGUUUUCUUUUUCCCUAGCCGUCAGACGUUGUAGACUCUGCUUUUGCUUUUUGGCUUUCACGUUUUUUAUUCUUUUGCUUUGGCUUUGGCUCUGUACAAUUUUCGUUGGCCUUUGCGUUGUACUUCGCUUCAGUACGAACAUUAACGCAGAGACAAGGAAGACGUUUUCUUUUCUUUCUUUCGUCAUUACUCCAUCGUUCCAAUUUCGCUGAUGACUGUGCGGAUGAAAUUAACCAACCCACGCAAAAUUGACACGAUGAGGAGCGGCUAAUUUAGUCCUCUACCCAAAGGUCGACGCGAGGGCGCGGUCCAUAAAAUCUGUGAGAUCUAAUCGAAUCUUCAUUAUUUCUUCCAAGUUAUUGCUAUUCGUGCGUUUCCUGAAUUAAUUGUUCAUGGUAUUUGAUUAAUUGAAUAUCAACGGUCGGGUAUUUGAUUUAAUUUAAUAGCCUACUGCCACGUUAAUUAAAUAGAAUCCGUAAUUGUUCAUUUAGUUGACACCCCGUGGCGACCACCAUAAUUGGCUUUAUGAUGGGAAAAUGCAAGAUCAAAUUUAAAUAAACACUCUUAGCGUGUUUAUUGGUUAGGGUUGGGUUCUUCUAGCUUUAAUGCAAUUGGAUAAUUAAAUUCCUACGGUCGUACCUAGGGUUGUUAUCUGGUUAGGGAAGCAGUCAAUGGUCGUACCUUGACUGUCGAAAAGGUAAGGAAGAACUGGUUGUCAGAGCUUAUUGAUAACUAUAACCAACCUAGUGACGAAUGGAUGAAAUAUCUGUGCAUCGAUGAUCAUUUAAUUGGACCGUGUCUGAACAGUUGAUCAUUUGGGUAGAACUUUUAUUAAUUGCUAUUUUUAGUAAAUUGUGCUUUGUGAGUUAGUUUUGAAUUUUGUUUGUUUUAUUUUUAUUUUUAUUUUCCUCCCAUCAAAAACCCCACAUACUCUGAACUCUAGAAGAAACGAAUUAUCCCCAGUCCCUGUGGAUUCGACCCUACUCACCGCUAUAUACAAAAAUCUGUAUUUUUCUCGAGUAGGUAUUUAUUAUUGUACAGGUUCGGCACCUGUCAAUUUUGGCGCCGCUGCCGGGGACUGGUGCCUGAUUAAUUUGUUUCUUUUUGAGUUCAUUUUUUUUAUUUUUCUCUUUUUUUUUUUUGUAUAUAUUUUAUGGCUGCUAACAUUCCGUAUUUUGGUGAUAGACUGGAUUUUAAUUUUACAAGGGGUUAUGAGACUCAUACUUUUUCUAAUGAUCAAUGGGCUGUUGCAAAUUGUGGAGCUUAUUUUGCUUCGAAUUAUUCACCCAACAUAUGCCCUGCAUUUCAAGAUGGUCGAAGUACUCCAAUCGAUACUUUUGGAGAUUUUCCACCUCAAUAUCAAACGUGGUAUGACCCUUAUUCAAACGGGUAUGAGCAAGGAUGGUGGGAUGAUUCCACUUUUAAUUAUGAACAAAGGCCAAUAGAUUUUCAACAGCUAGAGUCUCAAGGACCGUCAUCCAUGUCAGGUAUGUCUCUUGAAGAAAUAGUUGAAUUAAUAGCUACUAACACAUAUCAAAUUCAACAGGAGACAUAUCAAAUUCAACAGGAGACACAUCAAAUUCAACGGGAGACACGUCAAUUUCAACAGGAGACAACAGGUUGAUUAAAGAGAUGGAAGAUGGAAGGCGUGAAUCGGCAUCUACAAUGAGCAAAUUGAUUUCUCCAUUUUGUGAAGAAUUGCCCUCAGCGAUUAUUAUCGACCAUGAAGAAGAUGAGAGUAUAAUUAUCCUGACAAAUGACAUGGAACUGCAAGAGUCUCAUGAAGAAAAAUCUAAAGAUGCAGUUGAAAAGGGAAUUCAAAUACAAGAAAAGGAACCCCAAUAUCAAAUUGUUCAAGUGGAUGAAUCCAGUGAACAAUCUCCAAAUGCGGUGACACCUCCCCCAUUCCUUAAUCAAUAUUCUCCUGACUCUUAUUCUUUAAUUCCUGUUAGUGAGAUUGAUUUUAUUAUAUCAGAAAAUUUUGAGUUUCAUGACAGGAAUGAGUUAAGAGUCACGAUGGCAAAAUAUCUCGAACCAAUAAGUGCUCGUGAUGGAGGAAUGAGUGAAGAUUUAAGGUCAUCACUUAUUUGUUUGGCGCCAACUACUAAUCCAUGGAAGACCGUAGCUCGUGGAGUCAAGAAUUACUCUAUCUACGAGGGCUAUCAGGAUUACAUAGGAGAUGAAGCACUGAAACGAGCUACACGAUUUUAUCCUCCGUGAAUAAACAUGACGAUGUCUAGCCAAAGACAUUAAAGAAAGGCGCUGCUUGGGAGGCAACCCAAGGAUUCUUUUGUUUUAGUUUUCUUAUAUUUUUGGAAUUUUUAUUAAGUGUUAGUGUCAUUUAGUGGAUUGUUGUUUUGUGGCAGGAAGCUGGCAGUUGGACAUACCACUCUAGUUGAUCAUGCCUAAGGAAUGAAGCUUUGGAAUUGAUGGUCAGAAGACUCUAGCUUCCAAGGCAUGCCCACGCCUUCCAACCCUUCCGAAAACGAAACUUCAGUCUUCUCCUUCCUGUUGGUGUUGCGUCCAUCGCCGCCACUCCACAUUGUGCACGCAGCCGUCUCCCCUCCUCCGCCUUAGUGUCUCACUUUCCCUCCCCAGUGGUCAGGGAAGUUUCUUUUCUUUUCUCCUAAUACUUCAUUUGUCUUUUCUACAUUGAGGACAAUGUAGGUUUUAGGCGUGGGGAGUGGCUUCCAUUAUUUCUUUUUGCUUUGUUACUCAAAAAAAAAUGAAAAAAAAAUGAAACAAAUGGAAAAAAUGAAAAGAAAACAUUGUAGUUAGUCGGCUUUUUGUUUAUUUCUAUGCUUGUUAAUAUUGGAGCAUGUUGCUGUGAUAAAUGACACAAUCAAGAUGCGUGGUAUGUGGGUAAAUAUACUAGCUAUGCAUUUCGUUUUCCCUUGGCAGUGUUGUUGAGUGUUGAAUACGCUGGACUUGACCCAUUUUUGAAACUUUUGGGAGCUUUUGAGCCUUAUAUGAGCACAUUAUUCUUGUUUGCUCUAUUUUUGUUUGAUUGAGUGGGUAUCACACAUGGUAUUGGCAUUCUAGAACUUGCUAAUUUAUACAUGUCGAGACCACAUUUUUUUGAAUUGGAUGCAUUUGAAAUGAUAAGGGCAUUUAGGAUUUAAUCCUCUUUAGCUAUCUAAAAACCAAGCCCUCAUCUUAUCUCCAAUAGUGAACCAAUUUGAGCUUUUAUCUCUCUCUUUGUUUGUUAGCCGUAUUGGAUAAUCCAUGACCCUUUUUAGACUCUUUUGUCCAACCUUGUGUCAUUAAGCGAUGUCUGAAAUUCAUUACUUGUGCAAGGUAAAUAAAUCUGUGGUGGCAAGUGUUGUAAAAAAGAUGCUGGAUGGUGCUGUUUCUGUAUAUCUGAGAUCGAAAGAAAAGCCAAGAAAAAAAAGAAAGAAAGAAAAGAAGGAAAAAAAAAGGAGAGAAAUCGGCAAAAAGCUGGUGAGCAGAAGACUCUGUCUUCCAGGGCGUGCCCACGCCUUGCUAGACGUCCUCUCCAAAAAAAAAAAAAAAAAAAAGGAGAAGGAAAAAGAGGAACGAGUUUCGACACUUGCACAAUGAAAACAGCAAAUGGAAACGCCCUACUUGAGAACCUACCCCGAUAAAGCAUUGUGGUUAUGUAGUGGAUAUCGGACAUUCUCUUGACACAUACACCCUAUUUUUACCUUCUUAUCCCGCCUUUUACCUAAAUCUCAUUACAACCCUAUUAAAGUCCCUUUGAUUUGUGUAUUUAGUUCACUUUCGAGUGGUGGAGAUGUGAUAAAUGUGCAAACUUAUAGUAAUGUCAUUCCAUGAUGUUGAUUUGAGCGUUUCUAGUAUUCAUACACUUUCUUGGAGGUAACGAGUAUUACUGGUCAUAUUCUUUUUGGACUCCUACCUAUCCAGUAUGUUCUAAUCUUGGUGACAUUGUCAGGGACCUUAGAUGCUUGUGUUAGUAUAGACAACUCCAUAACCUCUGCUCUCUUGGUUGUACUUCUGAGCUCCGAAAUGCUUGAGGGCAAGCAUUGUCUAGGUGUGGGCGGAUUUGAUAGAGCAGUUAUUUGGCACAUUUUGCAUUGGCGUCUUGUUCUAAUUUUGGCUAUUCAUGGUGCUAAGAAAGGAAAUUUCACUCAUAUUUGAUAUUUGUGUGAAUUGUAGGUGGUUAGCAUUAAAAAUGAUAUCUUGAGGUGAAUUUCCAGAAGACUUCUCAUUUCAGGGCGUGGCCACGCCUUAGAAGGUGGACGAAACCGAAAGACGGACCAUGGUCCAUGUGAACCCGAAGCACGGGAUUGGAACCUUGAAACAAAAGUUGUGGGCCUCCUAACCCUUUGAAGACUACCGGCAGCUACAAAAGGCGAAAGAGACCAAAAGAAAAGGGGAUUCACGUUUUUAAAUUAGGAAUUAGAUAGCUUUAGUUUUCUUUUUCCCUAGCCGUCAGACGUUGUAGACUCUGCUUUUGCUUUUUGGCUUUCACGUUUUUUAUUCUUUUGCUUUGGCUUUGGCUCUGUACAAUUUUCGUUGGCCUUUGCAUUGUACUUCGGCUUCAGUACGAACAUUAACGCAGAGACAAGGAAGACGUUUUCUUUUCUUUCUUUCGUCAUUACUCCAUCGUUCCAAUUUCGCUGAUGACUGUGCGGAUGAAAUCAACCAACCCACGCAAAAUUGACACGAUGAGGAGCGGCUAAUUUAGUCCUCUACCCAAAGGUCGACGCGAGGGCGCGGUCCAUAAAAUCUGUGAGAUCUAAUCGAAUCUUCAUUAUUUCUUCCAAGUUAUUGCUAUUCGUGCGUUUCCUGAAUUAAUUGUUCAUGGGUAUUUGAUUAAUUGAAUAUCAACGGCCGGGUAUUUGAUUUAAUUUAAUAGCCUACUGCCACGUUAAUUAAAUAGAAUCCGUAAUUGUUCAUUUAGUUGACACCCGUGGCGACCACCAUAAUUGGCUUUAUGAUGGGGAAAUGCAAGAUCUAAUUUAAAUAAACACUUUUAGCGUGUUUAUUGGUUAGGGUUGGGUUCUUCUAGCUUUAAUGUAAUUGGAUAAUUAAAUUCCUACGGUCGUACCUAGGGUUGUUAUCUGGUUAGGGAAGCAGUCAAUGGUCGUACCUUGACUGUCGAAAAGGUAAGGAAGAACUGGUUGUCAGAGCUUAUUGAUAACUAUAACCAACCUAGUGACGAAUGGAUGAAAUAUCUGUGCAUCGAUGAUCAUUUAAUUGGACCGUGUCUGAACAGUUGAUCAUUUGGGUAGAACUUUUAUUAAUUGCUAUUUUUAGUAAAUUGUGCUUUGUGAGUUAGUUUUGAAUUUUGUUUGUUUUAUUUUUAUUUUUAUUUUCCUCCCAUCAAAAACCCCACAUACUCUGAACUCUAGAAGAAACGAAUUAUCCCCAGUCCCUGUGGAUUCGACCCUACUCACCGUUAUAUACAAAAAUCUGUAUUUUUCUCGAGUAGGUAUUUAUUAUUGCACAGGUUCGGCACCUGUCAGAAAGCAUAAGCAUGACACCGUCUUCUUCUUCUUGUUGACUCUCUAUGACAAUGUUAGAACAAAGCCCAGAUUUUUUUUUUCUUCUUAAGGAAUCAUCAAUUUUGUACUUACAUAACCUUGUAGUACCGUUUAUAUAACACUUUCUCCUGUAAAAUAAUUUCCUAUGUUAGUGUAAUAUUAGCAUCAAUUAGGAUCACAAAUUAAGAUAUUAUCUGGUAUUAUUGGAUAUCGUUGUAAGAAUUCUUAAGAUAUUAUCUGGUAUUAUUGGAUUAUCUGUAAGAAUUCACCUCAAAAUUUUAAUUAACUGCUUCUCAUUGGAUAUCGUUGUUCUUCACCAUCUUAUUUUAUCCACAUUUGUCCCUCACUCUUUUUCUCUAUAUAUAUAUAUAUAUAUAUAUAUAUAUAUCUGUUUCUCUAUUUCUUAUGGUGAAUAUUACUUUCUCUUUCAAUUUGUAAACUAAUUCUUGUCAUUAACAAAUUAGAGUUACAAGCAAAUUGAAAGACAAUAAAAUUAUGGAUUUCAUCUGCUUUUCUGAAUCAUCAAAAGGAUUAAUGAGCAAGGUAAAAUUCACUACUACAUGUGAACUUGCUGACUGUUUGCCCACAAAAUUCACUAACAUUGCAAGCGUAAACAUUCAGCUUCAAUGGGUAUGUUCUUAUAUUUUUGUCAUAGAUAUUUCCAAACAACAUUAAAACCAAUGAAAUAGCAAUUUGGGGAAAACGUUACAAUUUUUGUUUUUACCGCUGGUAUUUAAUAGAUGGAUAUGUUCUUAAUAUUCACUGUUAUCUCUCUGUAAGACUCCGCAUUAUGAUUGCCAUUAAAUUAGAUCAAUGUCGAUCAAGUUGAAAUUGUUUGCAGAGGAACUAGGCUGCUACUUUUCUGUUUUGUGAAUUGGAUUGAUAAUAUUAUCUCGUUGUAGGCCACAAGUGUCAGUGAAGCAGCAAGCAGUGAUAGUGCCGAAACAUUGUGAAAGGCUCAAAAGUGUGCUUAAGGCAGAGUCAGCCUGGAACCUCUAGAGCAUCUUAUUGCACUUUUCGCAUUCUCCAACUGCAACAUCAGGCUGUGGUUUCCCAUCAUUUUUGAAGAAAGAUGAGGAGGUAUGUGGGUUGGAAAUGACUCCACCCAACUUACUCGAAGUACAGGGGAAUUGGUCCAAGUUUGUUUAAGUCAUGUAAUUGGGCCUAAAUGUAGGGUGGUAUCUGCACUAGUAAGUGUUCUUUAUGGCUUAAUCGAUGGAAUUUAGCUUAAUUUUUGCUCUUUAGGAUUUUGAGUGAUAAAUUGUUGCAUUAGUCACCAGACCAAACCUUUCUAUGGCUCAUGUUUCUACACAAUGUCAUAACUGAAGCAGAACUGUGAUGUAAUAUUGUUAUUUUUUUUUCCAGAAUUUGUUUAGGAAGUAGAGUACAUGCUUUUUGGACAAAGAACACCAAGGUUCCCAUAUUGUUCUUAUGAGAAUGUCAAGAGGGAGGAGUUAUUUUCGCUUAUCAGUCAGGUUUUGAAGAUGGAAGGUAGUUAUCUGUGAGUUUGCCCACCAAAAUGCCAUAAAUUGCUCAGAAUGUGGAAAUGAAGGUAAAAAAUGCUGACUGCAUGUCUGUUGGCCUAUUUCAAUGGCUUUUUUUUUAUAUAUCUAUUUUCUGGAAGUAUUUAACAAAAUAAAUCAAAUAUUGAACCUUUUCUCCUUGUAGCAUGCUGAAAACAGAGUGGCUUGUGACAGGCUUGUAGAAAGUACUGGAGAGCUAUCAACGUGCAAGACUUGCUUGAAGAAAACUGGACUUACUGAUACUUAGUUCCAGAGGUGAGAAGAUUUGAUGGAAAGAAGUUAGACAUUGUAGACAACAUUGACGAUCAUUUGGACGACAUAAAUGAAGCAUGUGAUUGCAGUGUCAAUCAUUCAUUUGGGUGGAAACAGUUAAAGGAUUUGGUGCAAGAACCUCAUUUAAAGGGACUCAUGGUACAACUGUGCCAACAGUUAGUCAUUCCAGGCAUCAAGCCCAGCAUUGAAUUUGUUUUAGUAAAAUGAAUACCUUCGUGGUUCUUAACUAACUUAAUUAUUUUGACAUGUCUACUUCAAGAUAAAUAGUCACAAUCCAAAAAAUUGCAGUUUGAAUGACCAAUAAACAGGUUUUGUUAUUGUAGCAUUCUAUUUGUUAUGUUUUAGCUAAGAAAGACUAGCAAACCUAAAAAUAAAUUAUAAUUAUUAAGAAACUCCCUUGGAAUAUGUAACAUUUCAGAAGACUAAUGACGGUGGGGGAUCAAUGAUAAAUGUUUCACAUGAAGUUCUCCAAUAUGGUUUCACCUAAUUGGAGGUACUCUGCCUCAAGCAUCUGCUUGUUAGGCUAGAUGAGCAUGUUUCAGCACGCUCAUUCAAUGGAAGGUGAUAAGUAACUCUUAAGAAUUGAAGAAGAAGGAAAUUACUGACCAAUACUGAAAGGAUAUUGACAUCCAUUUCCUGCUUCUUUCUGAUAAUAGUUAUCCAUUUUUUAUUUUUGUUUGGCCCAAAGAGUUUAGUCUGUUGGGUGAAAUCAGUCGGCCAAAAGAAGUUAAUCAGAGAAUUUAUGAAUGCUAGUACAUAAAUAUAAAUUCUGUAUUCUUUCUUCUGAUUAUUUUGCCAAACUAGCUAGUUUGGGUUAUCAUUUUAGAAAGAGAGGAAAGAUUAUCAUCUUACUCCUCCUUUAACUUUUAGUUAAACAUUUUGCUUUGAUCAUGACUUUCUUUUCAGAAAGAAUCACAAGGACAAUUUAUGCAAAUUUGAUUGACUUUUGCUACCAUUACUUUUUUUUUUCGCUUUUUAGCCCUUCAUUUUUGGUUGUCUAGUAGACGGGUGAUUUUUCCAUUCCAACUUGCAUAAGGACUUUUUUGGCUCGUGGUAAAAUAUUUAUAGAAAUAUCCAUUUGAGCAUUUUCAAGAAAUGUCUUAUGGGCUAUGUUGUAACAUGUAGGAAGCAGUGGCUUCCAAGCAAAAAUGUAAUGGAUGGUGAUGUGGUAGGCAAUUGCUCACUUAAGGAGUGAUGAUCAGUCUUCUAGAAAGCAAUGUGCGACGGAGUAAAUGAAGAGGUAUGUAGUCUCAGUGGAUUAAAGGUCUACUACUUUGUGUUUUUGAUGUCUUAAUCGAUGCAUUUUUGCUGUUUAGGAAUUUUUGUAAUACAUUCUUCAUAAGUAUUGAAGGUUUGACAUGCCUAAUUUUACCCUUAAUAUUACUGCAAUGUAACAUGUGAUGAUUUUUUUUUUCCUGAAUCUGUUUGGGAAGCAGACUUCAUCUUUCCGCUACUAGUUGCUUAUAGAGAGAUCUUUGCUUAUUGUGAACUGUUAAUCGGAUAUCUAUGUCAAUAUUUAAGGCAAUCAGUGUCUAACAGGCUAUGUUGGAACACGUACAAUGCAACAGUUUCCGAGCUGUAGUGUAUGAAUGUAGUUUCGAUUGAUUAAAAGCUUGCUUCUCUUGAAGUUGGCAUGUCUUUCACAUACACAUGGAAGUGCCUGAGAAGUUUUCAUGUAUUUUGCAGGUUUCUUCUAAUUUGAUUUGCUUCAGACAGAGGAAAGCAUAUCAAGGAACCAAUUUGCCGCUGAGACUAGUAGCCAAUUUGGUUGAUCUCGGUUCCAUUCCAUUAUAAGCUCUCUGGAUUCCUCUACUUGUCAAUCGCAUGAACAUAGAUCUCAUAUCAUUGGAAGCAUUGAAAGUGAGAGGAUGAGAAGGCAAGAACAUUGGAAGCUAGUUGCUGGAUUGUAGGCGUGAAAAAGUCCUUCAAUUCACAUUUCUAUUAUUUGUUGCUAUACUAAAGUUUUGCUCUAUAGUACCGUAUCCCAAAACUUCAGUUUAACUAUAUUAAAAGUGUCGUACACAUGGCUGGCUAGAGUGCAUGUAUUACUUUAGCUUGGGUUACCGAGAGAAAGAACAUUGCAACAGAUACUUGAGAAAAUGAAAAGAGCUUGUCCCUUUAUUUGUAAGGGGUAGGCAGGAUGUGGGGAGUGGUUGGGAGGGUGAAAAAUAAUUUUAAAAAAGUGAAAAUGAAUAAGAAAAUAAAAAGCUUUUGUGGAUAAACUAUACUACCUAUAUUAUACUACUCUAACUAAUAAACUAAGGAAAUUCUAUUGAAGAUUACAUUUUUUGUAGAGUUUCUCUAACCUUUCAAAGUUGUAAAAACAUUUCCAAAGGAUACUAUUUAUAGACGAAUUCAAGGUCAAAAAGUGUUGUUAAAGUCGAUGUGAAAUGUUCCUUGAAAUUCCCAAAUAAUGUUCCCACAAGUUCCUUGCAUCUCUUUUAUAGCUGUGGCCGAAAUUCUUAUCUACCAUAGAGUUGGAAAGUAGUGUGAAACUAGAAGAAGUUGCAGAGCAAGUUGUAGAAAACAGAAGAGAAUACAUAACCUCGGGAAUACACGACUUACGGUCACGUAUUCACAGCUCGCAUUUUCACUUCUGUGUAUUUAGUACCAAUUCAACUGAUUUUUUAUAAUGAUAGAGGCCGAACUAGCUCUUGUAGAAAAUAUAACAGUUGUAGCCCUUCGAGUUAGUUUUCCAAUACCUCAAGAAUCAUCCAAUAUGGAGUUCUGUGGACCAAUAAAUGACCAAAAUAUCUUGGACUGGUCAGACCUCUAUUUCAGAUUUCAACCAUGAAAAUGCACUUCUAUAUUUAGACUUUUUGACUAGUAAAACAACUGAACUGGACUUCGAUUCUCAUAUCAAUUAUAUAUAUAUAUAUAUAUAUAUAUAUAUAUAUAUAUAUCUUAGCUUCAAAAUGAUAUACAGAUCACCUUAAUCCGUUGCUUGUAACUCAAGAUAUUGCCAAAAUACCAUAAGGUGUCAAAGCUAUUUUCACUUGCAUUUUUCUCUUUAAGUAUUUUGCACUUCAUGUCUAUUUUAAAUCACUUCAAAUCAUCAUUAAACAUCCAAAUAUCUUCUUAAUUCAUGCCAUUUGAUAAUUGAAUUUUUAAACCUAUAAAAAUAUCAAGUUUUUACCAUUAAAAUCUAUAGAAAUGCAAUUUUUACCACUUAAACCUUAAAAAGGCAUAUUUUCACUAGAAACUUAAUUCAUCAGCUAUAAAAGUAAAUAAAACACAUUUAAAACAGGUAAAAUAUAUACUUAUUAAACAUCAUAUAACUCAAAACUUGCUCAUUUGCAACAUUAUUAUCUGCAAACGGAGGAUUAUGGAACGUUGCUUAAACGUCAAGGAUUACUAGGACAAUAUAAUUCAAUUUUAAUCAGGAUUUCCCUAAUCUCAAAAGCGUUGCUUUCUUCUUAAUUUGAAACGAAACCCACUGAGUUUUGAUAAUUCUUAUAGUAUAGUAUAAUAUUUCCUUGACCCGUGCACAUGACGAGUUUAUAUUAUGAAGGAAACAGUUAAAGAAUUUACAUGAAAAGCAAAAGGUAAAAAGUUCAGGAGCGUGUCAUUUGUUAAGAACAUGUUAAAAAUAAAAAUGAAACCUUAUUAAUUUACCUUUGCCAGCAUAAGAUGAAUCUAAUUAAUUUUACUAUUAUGAAAUGUUUCAAUUCUAAACAUGCCUACAUACAAUCAGCAUCUCAUCUGGUACCAAUAAAAAAUAAAAAAAAUUCUUAAAUUACAUUUUACCCUUCUAUGGUUUAAUACUUUUCUAUAUAACCCUCUAAUGAUUACAAAAGUUAUAUAUAACUUUGCAUUCCAUAAAUAGAGUUGACUAAAAUGUCAAAAGUACCCUUAUGUAAAGUUGAAAACUAAUUAUUAAUUAUAGGGGAGUAUAUAUAUAUAUAUAUUAUUUAUUUAUUUAUUGAAAACCAUAAGGAAGUUAUGUAAUAAAUCACUAAAACAAUAAGAGGUUAAAGUGUCAUGCAUAUUAUAUUUACAUUUUAGUCACUUUAGUCAUGUUAAUUUCUAGACAAGGAUAAUCUCAAUACUUUCAUGGAUUCCAUUACAGAGGACUAUUUCUACCACUUGGACACUUUAAUCCAAAUUAUAAGGGGAUUAUGUAAAAUUUUUUAAACCAUAGGAAAAUUAUGUGGAAAAGAGGUAAACCACAAGGGGUAAAUGUAAUUUAUUCUAAAAGAAUUUUAGUAAACAAUUACAUUAUAGCCAUAUUCAUCCUGAAUCUCAUAUAAACAAAAAUAUUUAUUAUCAAAAUAUUAUUAAAGCAGAUUUCAUAUGUAAAUAGAAAUUUGAAACUAAAUCCCUACAUUAAAAUACAAUUUAAAAAUUGGGUAAAGCACUGAGUUUAUUGUUUUGACAUUGAGUUCAAAUUCAAAGCAUUUAGAGGAAAAGUUCAUAGUUUAAUCCAUAUUGGCCCUCAUAAUUGAAGAGGUAAAAUUUGAAUGUAAGAAAAAUUCCAUGGCCAGGAAUUCAUUUUUACAUUUUAACAAGUGAUUAGCAUUUCCUAUCACACAAAACCAGAAAGAAGAAUAAAUUGAUCAUCAUAGUUAUAAGUUGACAGGUUGUCAAGGUUGUGCAAUAAUAAAACCUAUUCAAACUAAAAGUAAUUUCUGUAGAUAGUGGUGAGCAGGGUCAAAUCCACAUGGACUGGGUGUAACUGUUUCUUUUCAAAUUCACAGUAAUACGGGGGGUGUUUUUGUAUCAAGGGGUGACAAUUAAAGCAAUUCAACUAAAAGUAAAAUAGUAAAAAUUAAAUAGCCAACUAAAAAUUAAAUAACAAUUUACUAAAAUCAAAUGAGUGAUAAUUAAGGAUCUAGUCAAGAAAUAACUUCAGCAAUGGUUCACCUAAUUGAUCAUCGAUACAAAGCCAAUUCCAAUUAUUUACUAAUAAAUAGGUCAUAACUGCCAAACAAGCGAUGACAGUCAACCCUCCUUACUGUGUCGGUGAUUAAGGUACGUCUGUUAACCACUACUCUAAUUGAGAAAUAAUCUUCGGUAAAUCCGUAAGAUUUAAUUCCCCAAUUGCCUUACAUAUUAGAGGAGCCCUAUUCUAACCAAAUAACACACUACCAGGUUAUUUUAGAUUAGCCUGCGUAUCCCCCUGACACGAACAUAAUCGUGCCAGUUGUCACUAUUUCAAGGCAAUUAAACAAUUACGGAUUUAAAUACCCUAAUUGACAAUCGAUUACCAAAUUAACUAAUUAUCCGGAUCCAAGAUAAUCAAUUAAUUGAACAAUUAUAAACUCUGUAGCCAGGAAAUAUGCGAAUACCAAUAAAUAACAAAAAAAAUAAAAUUAAAUCGAUCUCACAAUUUUUAGAUAAACUAAAGCCUCCGUUGUCCCUUGACUAGAGUGAGAAAAUUAGCUCAUGUUUGAUGAACAAAAUCCACGAGAAAUUAAAGCAACAUUAGCGGCCAUUGGCCUCGUUCGUGAGAACUCAAUUUGUUCGAUUGAAUAAGGAGAAACCAGCAACUACAAACAAUGAUUCAAUUCCUCGUAAGGCUCCUGACAUCGGCAGGAGAACUCCACUAUCAAAAGCUAAGAAGGAAAAGUCCCCACUAGAUGACGAAGAUGGAAAAGUCAAAGAAAACUAAGCUAAGUAGUCCUAAUCCUCCGCAAUUCCAAUUCCUAUCUAAUACUACAUUACUACUUUGCAGCGGCAUCCAGCCUGAAGAGACCCACGAAGACUAGCCCUUCGUUCUUUUUCUUUUGUUGUCCUCCGCAAAUUACCAAAAAGGACUUGCAUCUCCCUUAUUUCAAAAAUGCCCUGGGAUAAGUUCUAUUAUGUGGACUCCUCUUCUGUUAAAUUGACACUUGUUAAUUUCCCUUUUAUUCUUGUCAAAUAUUAUUUUAAUUAUUAAUAUUUACUCAUAUUUGGUAUUGGACCCAAUUUCAGGAAGUGAAGCAGAAAACUAUAAAAAAUGAGAGACUUUUUGUAGAAAAUUGAGACUCCUAAAAGCUCAAUAGACCUGGCCCACAAGGAGAGGAAGAAACGGAAUGGCUGAUGAAGAAUUAAUUGGUACUAAGGGCUCUACUAGCAAUAGCAAAUGGGAAGAGAGGAAACAUUGAGUAGGGCCUUGCCCUUUGGUACCCUUUGUUGACUUAUGCGGCGGGGACCACGGAGAAUAGGGAAGGAAUUAGUCAUUUGGCUUUAAAAGAGCAACAAACGUACACAGAAGCUCUUAUCACUAGUUUUAGGGAGUUAGCUUUUUAGCAUAGUUUAGUUUGUCUUUUUUUCUUCUUUGCCGUCUCUUCUAGGAGGAGGACGAAGACAUAGCUUGUUUUCAAUAAUUACUUCUGCACUUUUGCAUGGGAUUUCCUCCAUGAAGAUGAAUUAAAUCCCUUCGUCUAGUCGAGGAACAACGGAGGACUUGGUUCUACUAAAUUUGUGAGAUCGAAUUAGUUUUUAUUUAUUUCCAUUAUUCACUGGUAUUCGUCUAUCUUCUGCUUUAUGUUCAUAUGGUUGUUUUAUUAUUCGAUUAUCCAGGGCCCGGAUUCUAGAUUAAUUCAAUAACCUGAAGCCAAUUAGGGUAGUUAAAUCCGUAAUUGUUUAAUUAUUCUAAACUGGUGGCAACUGGCAUGAUUGGGUUUGUGUCAGGGAGAUAGGCAGGCUAACUUAAAGAGACCCUCGUAGCGUGUUGAUUGGUUAGAAUUAGGCUCUUCUAAUUAUUCAUGCAAUUAGGGAAUUGAACUUCUAUGGUCGUACCUAGGGUUAUUUCUUGGUUAGGGAAAUAGUUAACGGUCGUACCUUAACUAUCGAGAAAUUAAGGAAAGACUGGUUGUUCAUCGCGUGCAUGACAACUAUAACCAAUCUAUUAAUGAAUAAUUGAAUUAUUCUUGCAUCGAUGAUCAGUUGCAUGGAUCGUGUCUGAAAAGUUGUACCUUUGGCUAGAGUCAUAUUGGUUAUUAAUUAAUUUCUAUUAGUUGUUUUAUUAGUUAGUUAAUUAGUUAUUUAUAUUCUCCAAAAACCCUCCAUACUUCGGACUCUAAAAGAAAUAAAUUAUCCCUAGUCCCUGUGGAUUCGACCCUGCUUAUCACUAUCUACAGAAAUUAUAUUUUUGUUUGAGCAGGUAUUUAUUAUUGCACAGGUUCGGCACCAUAGAAUUUUUGUGCAUUAUUUAAGAUAGGUCUUCCAGAAUUUACAAUAAAAGUAAUGUAACCGUAACAUAAUUAGUCAUAAAGGAAGCCAAAAAAAAUUUUAAGAAUUAAUUGGCAAUGAGAAAUAAUACUAACUAGUAAUAUGAAAAGUAUAAAUUAAGUACUGAAACUAUGAGUUAUGUUACUAAGUAAAUUAAGACUAGAUAAAUUUGAGGCAUUUGUCUCAUUAGGUCUCUCAAUGAGUUCCGUUACCAUGUAAAUUAUAUAACGAGAAUGCUAGUUCACUUUACAUCAACUUAAGGGCUUAAGUCAAAGCUAUGGCACCAGAAUUAUAGCUAUUACCCUCAUCUCAUAGCAAGAUUAUCGUUUUCUUUUCAGGUCAGUCAAUUUAAAAUUUCCAUUUAUCUUUAUUAGAUACAAAAAUUUUGUCAUUUUCAUAUUCGAGUCCUUAUGGAGGAUUCAAGGCUCAAAUUUUAACUAAUGCCUGCUGCUCUAGCUCUCUCGAAGAGUACUCCUAUUUUGUAACUGAUACGCUAAGUCGUUAAGAAGGUUCUUACAUUAAGUUAUAAGAAUGAAAUAAACAAAAGAAUUUUUUAGCAAGAAGUGAAUACCAUUCUAAUAAGUACUAAUUAACUACACUUAUAUUGGUUAUUAGGGAAAUGAAAGUAAAUAAAAUAUAUGGGAAAUUGAUAGCACAUAAAAAGUAGAAAAUAGCACAUAAAAAGGUAAUAAUCUCUUUUGUGCCUAAUAAUCAUUAAGCUUGGAAGUUACGUUAUUAAGAAAGUUCAAUAAAAGACGUCUGCGAAAUGCUGAGAUGAACUCACAAAGGAAACUUAAUUAGCUUGAGUGAAGUUAAAGUCUAUUAAUAGAGAAGCAAAAUUAGUAGGAUUUAACUAAUGCUAAGAGACAAUCCAGAAUUGAUGACCACGGAUUAAUUACUAACUAAUCAAUGGUAAAAAGAAUUUACAUGUGAUGAAAUUCAAAGUUAUAUAAUUCACUUCUGUAAUUAGUGUCACAAUUUAUGGUCAUAAAUUCUUGGAAGUUAUUGAACGUGGAUUACAAGCUUUUCAACUAAUGAUGGUCAUAAGUAAGAAGAUUUAACUAAUAAAAGAGCUUAUUAUUCGAAAUAGAAUUACGAUGAGUUGUCUAAUAGAACUAGUUUUUCUAUUUCUUCCAUUCUUGGUGACUUAUUUUCUGGGCAUUCGCCAUGCUCCCGUGUGCCCCGGAAUUAUUAGCCACGAGUCCAAAUGUGUCUUCUUCAAAUUGAAAUUCAUAUUCAUGAUAGAUCCCAGUGAAAUCAUUGAAUUUUAACAAUUGAACAACAAAUUUUGUACAAAAUACUAAACACUUUCGUAUAUCAAUUUUUUGUAUGGUAAUUACAAUAUUGAUACCCCCAUUUUCUUUUUUGUUUUUCCAUUUUUGCUACAACAAACAAAUUGUAAUCGUACAAUGAGAAUGGGUGGACUAUUUCCUAACAAAGUAUGUCAACAGCGUUCUGUUUCUUUGGACUUAGAUGUCUUCAACUUUCAUCCCAAAUACAAACCUAAUGCUUUGAAUAGAUGUUCUUUGCAUGGUAGAUCACUAUGAUUUUUCAUGUUAUUUGAAUUGAAUUUGUUAGUGUUUAUGCAGUUGUUCCAUGUGAAGUGAGCUGUAUGUAUUUCUAGCUUGAAUAAAUAUAUAUACAAUGUAUAUAGAGCUGUAAAACGAAUGGGCGGCUUGUGAGCCUAGUUCAGCUCGGAUCAUACUGAUACAAGCUCGAGUUCAGUUCAUUUGUUCAAUUAAAUGAGUUGACCUCAAACAUCAAAUUAGACACGUUUUUUAAAUAAGCCAAUCCAAACUCAUUUUUUAAAUAGGUCGUUUAAGUUCGUCUAGGCUCGUUUGCAAAUUUAUUCAAGCUAGUAUUACUAAUUUUUCUUAGUAAUUAUGUAGAUUUGCCUUGCCAUGAUUUUUUAAGAUUUGGUUUUAUUUAAAUAUUGGGAAUCUUCUUAUAUUUGGUGAAAAUUUUUUAUUCAAUAGGCAAAUGAAAUUGGUUAUAUUUUUUGAAUUGCAAAGUUGUAUAUGAUAUUUAAACACAUUUAAAAUUUUUUUAGUUUGAACUUACUCAUUUAUGUCAUAUAAGUCAAGUUCAAGUUUAGACUCAAGUUCGAAUUUGGAAUAAUUCUAAUGAGCUGAGUUUGAACACAAAAUUUGGCCCAUUACAUACACGAGCUAAGUCGAACCUAGCUUAGCUCGAUUAUUUAAUGAGCCAAGUUUGAACACCAAAAUUUCGACUCAAUUUAGUUCGUUUACAGCUCUAAAUUUAUAUGAACUUGUUGCAUUCUUUUGAGUGUUAUUUUCUUCUAAAGAUCCAACACAUUUUUUAUUUCUGGCUAGCUAUUUAUUUUCAACAAUUCAAAAUUCGUUGGUGAAAAUGAUAUGGUUCUUUCUUUGCAGUAUUUAUUAUUGUUAUUAAUGUUUUGAUUGAAUAUAAUGCAACACAAAGCCUAACCAAUGAGGGUUUUCUUCCCUAUUAAUCUUAUGAAUGGCAUAUUCGUUAUAGAUAUAUUGAAUUUAAAUGCGGCAGGCUUAAAUAUGGGAGUUUUUCAUUUUUAUUACCGAGAUUAUUGAAUUGAUGGGAAAUGAAUCAUUUACUUAAUUAAUAUCACAAUUGGGAUACAAUAACUCCAAUUAUUACACAAAAGAACUUUUUUUUCUUUUUUAAAUAGAAAAUGUAAAUGAAGUUACUAAAGUAAAUAUAAAUCUUUCUGAGAGUAGGCAGAAUAAAACUUGGGGAUAAUUUUCGAAUCUUUCCUUGAGGUUUCUGACAAUUUCACUCGACUCUUCUCAGGUUUAAAAAUUAUACUUACCCCUCUUGGCAUAGUCAAAUAUCAUUGAUGCCCUCCACUUGGUAGACAAUUUUAAAUUUAAGGCAAUAAAUUUUAAAAAAUCCAUUUUUCUAUCUCUUAUCUAUUUUCGCUCCUCUUUUUUCUAAUUAAUAUAACCGCUUUUUAUUAUCUUCAAUUUUAUGGAUAUUAGCAAAUUGAAAUCACAAAAUCACAGAGAGAGAGAGAGAGAGAGAGAGCAGAGUAUGUGUCAAAUUAGAAGGAGAUAAAGAGACUCGUAGUGAUACAAAAAUAAAUAAUGAAAUUGAUGAAAUUAGAAGAACUAAAGAUGUAAAUUUGUCAUAUUUUGUUUGUUGUCAAGAAAAUCUUUUAUAAAAUGCCAAUAAUUACAUAAGGUUUCUUUCAUUGGAUUAGAAAUUUUUUAUUAUAUUUUUAGUAUAAAGAUAGAGUUUAUUCUCUAUUUUUGAAAUAUUAAUUUUUUUAAGAGGGAGAACUACAUAAAUAGUCCCUCACAUAUUGCAAAUGUGAAAAUUUAGUCCCUCAGAUCGAAAAUGAUCGAUUUUAGUCCUUAAUAAAUAAAAAAAGAUCAAUUUAAAUCCCUUUUCACUGUUCCGAGCAAAUUUUGCCCGGAAUGUCUCACGCGCACAUUACGUGCCCAACUUUUAAAGGGUAAAAAGGCCAAAUCACUUAUCUGUUAACCAAAAUGUAAGAGACAAGGGUUCCCAAAAUUCUUCUUCUCCUUCAUUUCAACCAAACCCAAAAUCUAAGCUUCAUCUCCAUGGCGGAACCACCAACCUGUAAUUGCGGUGCACCGGAGAGAAUGAAGACAUCGUGGACAACUGAAAAUCUAGGAAAGAGGUUCUAUGGUGGACAUGCCAAAGUUCUGAGCUUCAGCUGCUUCACACCAUCAAAGCAUGGUUCAAGGAUCCACUAAGGUCUUUCUCCAAUUGGAAUUCUUCUCUAUCCUUUUGUCAACGGCAUGGAGUUUCUUGCGAUAGCUUGUCUCGCAUCAACAAAAUAGAGCUCUCAGGGAAGAAUUUAUCUGGAAGUGUUCCAAAGGCUGUUUUCCAGUUGCAACAUGUUGAAACCAUCAAUCUUUCAAAUAAUCAGUUCUCUGGUUCAAUUCCAGGCAAUUUGUCUUCUUGUUUGUCGCUUAAACAUCUCAAUUUAAGCAACAAUAACUUUACAGGGCCACUUCCCAAAGGCUCAAUUCCGUUUCUUGAGACCUACGAUCUAUCAAACAAUAUGCGUUCACGGGCAAUCCCAGAAAACAUCGGACUUCUAUCAAGAUAAGAGAACUUGAUUUUGGUGGGAAUGUUUCGGAAGAAAGAAUUCCAAAGUCCAUCACAAAUUUGACAAGCUGUCAAGUCUUGACCUUGGCCUCUAACCAAUUGGUUGGGGAAAUUCCACCAGAAUUAGGCCUCAUGGAGAAUUUGACAUGGAUGUAUUUGGGGUACAACAAUUUCUCUGGUGGAAUUCCAACAAAAUUUGGUGAAUUAACCUUUUUACAUCAUCUGGAUCUUGUCAACAGCAAUCUCACAGGUGAAAUUCCAUCAUCUUUGGGUAACCUCAUCAAUCUUCAAUACCUCUUUCUCUACCUCAAUAAACUCACUGGACCAAUUCCCAAAUCCAUUUUCGGGCUAAAAAGUUUAAUACCGCUUGAUCUAAGUGAUAACUUUUUGUCAGGAGAAAUCCCUGAAGAUAUAUUUAAAUUGCAGAUCUUGGGUUGAGAGGAAUCGCAGAAGGAAGAUAACGCUUGCAAAUGGAGGUUUGCACUCAACAUUGCAACUUUAGUCCCUUCCAUUUUGGUCAACAGAUAAGUGGUUUGGCAUUUUUACCCUUUAAAAGUAAGGCACGUGAUGUGCGCGUGAGACAUUCUGAGCAAAAUUUGCUCGGAAUAGUGAAAAGGGAGUUAAAUUGAUCCUUUUUUAUUUAUUAAGGACUAAAAUCAAUCAUUUUCGAUCUGAGGGACUAAAUUUUCACAUUUGCAAUAUGUGAGGGACUAUUUGUGCAGUUCUCCCUUUUUAAGACCAUAGGAGAGUUACAAUGGCUGUUCUAGGUCAGACUAACUUGUAUUAAAAAGAUAUUUGAGCAUUGAUAUUUAACUUUGGUAUGCAAUUGGUUGUCAAUGGUGUUUGUGUGUGUGUUUUCUUCUUCUUCUUCUUUUUUUGUGGCAAGCAUUGAUACUAUAUAUGCAAUUUAAAAUUUUUUGGAUGGCUAUUUGGUUUUAGAAAUUAUGUUUGAAUGAUUGUUAGGGAUUAGACUUAUUAAUUUACGCAAAGUGUGGAAGAAAAUAAUUGAGUAUACUAUAUUUUUCUUUCUUAGUUUUGUACAAAAGGGUCAUUUAGGAUUUUUGUGAGAAAAUCUAUCUUGUUGGACCUGCAUUGUUACAAAACAUUAAAAGGAGAGGACAUAUAUAUAAUUUUUAAAAUGUAAGGGGAGCUCUCUAUAAUUGUCAAAAACCUCAAGGAAGGUUUGUGAAAUUAUCCCGUUGUCCCUAAAACUUGGGGGUACACUAAACCAUGUACUUGAAUCAUAUUCAAGUGACAUAGUACUUUUAGCAAGGAGAUGAGCAGCCAAAGUAAGACGUCUAGGAAUCCAGCAAACAUUCCAAUUUGUAAAACCUCGUUUAAGAGUCAAAAUAUUACUCCCUCCCUUUUUUUCUCUGUUUUGAAACUCGGACCGGACCGGCCGGUCGAACCGGUUGAACCGGGAACCGGCCAGGUAGCCGGUCCGAGUCAAAUUUAAAAACCGGAAAAUUAAAAACCCGGUCAAAGCCGGUCAAAAACCGGGUUUGACCGGGUAAAAACCGGUUUUUCCGGUUCAACAGUAAUUUUUUUAAAAAAAAAAAUUCAAACUUUUUAAUAUUAUGUUUUGACCCCCUAAAUUGUUAAAACUUAUUGAUAUACCUCAAAUAUUUGAUACUUUAUAAAUAUUGUCCUAAAAUUUGAUGUUAUUUUUCAAUUAAAUUCAUAAUUUUAAUUCUAAACUUGUUAAUAUUUAUUAAAUAAUAUAAAUUGCUACUUGAUUGUUCUAAUUUCUUUGUAUUUUUUUGUUAAAUAUAUUUGAAAUAUUAAAUAUAUAUGAAUAUACCUUUAUUAAUAUCAAUAUAUUAUUAGAUAUUAUAUAUAUAAUAUUUUAAUUUUUAAAUAAUUUUUAUUUAUGACGUCAUCCGGUUCGACCCCUAUCGACCCCCGGUCGAACCCAUUGACCCCUGACCCCUGACCUCGGCCGAGUCGCUAUCCGGUCCGGUUCUGAAAACAUAGCUUUUUUUACAACUGACGUUUAAGAAACUUACUCUUAAGUACUUUUAUCUGUCGUUGUAUUAUUCCCAUGCAGCAUUAAUUAUUUUUUCACAAUUUUACCCUUUUAUCUCUCUUUUCCAAUACAGGGUUCUUAAUUUGGUGGGAGUUAGUUUGCAUGCUUUUGGCCUAGUAAAACAGCACCAUUUAAUACUCUAGUGAGAGAAAAUAUGGGUGAAUUGGACAAUUAAUGAGGGUAUAAAAGGAAAGUAAUGUAUAGAUUUAAACAAUGAAAAACUUUUCUUAAUUGGUGUGCAAAACCUUAAACGUCAGUUAUAAAAAAAAGGAGGGAGUAUCAAUUAAGACUCCAAAGCUGUUGGUUAUCUUCAGCACAUCACCUUCAAUUACAACUCGGUGCAAAAACAUCAGUUGUCAAAACCCCAAUAUUCUUAUGUGAAAAACCAGCAAUAAAUUGACCAUGAUCAUUCCAUGGUGCCACACCUAUCCCAGAACAAUGAUUUUGCAAGGAAAUUGCCCCAUCAAAAUUUGCCUCACAGAAAUUCUAUGGACGUUUUUGCCACUAGGUGAUUUUGACAACCUUGUUGAUGAAGGUGCUAAGUUUGUAGAGAUUGAGAAAGCUUCCUGAAAUUGCUGAAGUACUUUAGAGGGCUGGGUAGCAAGACUAAUAGGGUCCUUAAAAGAACUCUCAAAGACCACACAAUUUCGAUUGUUCCAAAGAGUCAUAUUCAUCACAAUUAACCGGGAUUUUGGACAGUCAUUUUUUGCUGAAAAAUUGCAUCGUUUUUCGUGAGCCUAUUUUUCUAUUACCUUUUUUCCUCACAUACAUCAAAUCGCUACAGUAAUUUUUUUACAAAAAAUCCAAGAAAAUGCAAUCCAAACAAGACAGUGUCCAAACCUAGAUCGCAAUAAUACAGUUCAAGAAAAUAUGAUUCAUAUUAUCUUCAGGUGCUACACAAAAUGAACACAUGGGAUAAACAGAGAAACCACAACUUUUAAGAUUGGAAUUUGUUGGUAGAAUGUCUUUGUAUGCCCUCCAAACAGAAGCUUUGAUGUUGUUGGGAAUGUUUAGCGAUUCCAAUGGUUAUUAUAAGUGUCACUGCUCCCAGAAUGUAGGUUUCUCCAACACGAAGUUGGUUGCUUGAUGAGAUGGUAAGCACUGUUCUAGGGAAAACAACCAAAAAGCUUUCGUCUUGCCAGUUGUUGGUUAAUUUAUAAAUGCGAAAUUGGAGCCUCAAACAACGAACCGACAAGUAAAGCGUAAUUAAAGUUUAAGGUCUCAACUCUCAACUCUCAAUGAUAUUACAAAUUAAACAAAGUAAACACAAGUUUCAAGAUUUCAAAUAAGAUUUUUAAAUGCGUGGUAAAACAACAUGAACUCCAUGUAAAAGAUAACUCCAAUUUUCUUUUUUUUUUUUUCUAUCCUAUGUAUUUUUUAUUUCAAUAAAACUAGCAAAUACAUCAUAAUUUUCAUCCUGCUAGUUGUUGCAUUCAUUUAUAGAUGCAAAAUCAGAGCCUCAAAGAAUAAAUGGCUUGAUUAAGCUCUAUUAGGAAACUAUGAAUAGUUUCGACAUAUUGUGUUGCCUUUUCAAAGUAUUCAUGUGUUGCAAUCUUCUAAAAAUUAUUGAGGGCUAGAACCCACUGAAUGUCUCAUAAAUAGUGUCUCCAUAAGCAAAUGUAUUUUCUUAUGGCCAAUAUUUGCGAUCAAUUAAUCACCAUUGUCUCCAUAGCGCUUUUUUGCUUUUCAUUCUCAUAAAACGUUAACAGUUACCGGUGCAUUUGUUAGUGGAACAGGUAAGGAAUCUAAAUAAAGUGGGUUGGCCCUUAAAAAAUGAAUGGUAAACGGGGAUUUAACUCGUGAUACGAAUUACAGAUCAUGUAUUCACAUCCAAACACUAUUCAAGAUAACUUCUUUAAAGCCAAAUGUAACAGAUAAAAUCAUUUAUCCAAACAAACUCAUUGAUAUCAAUGAUCUUUUUUUUUUUCCUAAAAUCUAACAAAAAAUUUUCAGUUACCCAUCAUUUUGAAAAUUUCAAAAUAAAUAUUAAAUAAUAAGUAUAAUAUUUAAAAAUAAAAAUUGAAUAAUAAGUAAAAUAUUUACAAAAAAAAAUUAAAUAAUUUGUAAGAUUUGAUUAGGCUUGACGAGUACUCAAGCAUAGUAUUUUCACUUGCACCUGUACUUUUUUCACCCUUAUAAUCUAACACCCGUCUCUUGCACAACUAAUGUGGGAGUCCAAAUAGAAAUGGGAAAAAAUAAAUCAAAAUAACGAGUCUUAGCAAAUUUCUACAUCAAAUAUGAAUAAAAAAAAGCCUAAGUUUUAACUCUAAUAAUAAAUCUUAUGUAACAUAAACAAAAACUAAGUUGCAAUUUUCAAUAAAACAUUGGCAACAAGUCUAUAAAUCUAAAAUUGUAAAGGUCAAACAACUAUUUUUAAUUGUGAUGGAGAUUUGUAUUAAUAUUUAGGAAAUUUCUUUUGUUUUAUAUCUUAUGAUUAACUUUGAAAUGAAACAGAAAAAUAUGACUUUGUUAUACAAAAAUUAAUUACUGGAUUACGAGGUGGGCAAAAAAUUCGGUAAUAUACCUCAAACAUUUUAAAAUUUUGAGUAGACAUAGAUGAUCUAAUUACUAAGAUGAACAUUUUAAUAUUUUUUGUAUUGCAAAUGAUUAUUACUUAUUAGUUUUAGGGUCUAUCUAACCAAAGAUGUAAUAUCGGUAUUAAAUUUUUAGAAAGAUAAGAUUAAUUAGGAAUAGUAUAUAAAUACAAGCGAGGGUAAUAAUUAUUAGUGUACUUAUGUACAAGGUAGAUAGGUGAAAUUUAGGUGUAUUAAAUGAGUGCCCAUUGGACACCGUCCGUUAAAAAAAAUCUUAGUUUUAUUGGCCAAUUUUUGCAAGUACUAAUUUGGAAAUCACUUAUGCAAUUAACAAAUCUAAUCCCUACGGCACCUUGCACAUUGCUAGACUUAUUUCAUCUAAAAGAAGGUACAUAGACAAUUCAAUGUUAUAGGAUACAGUAUUAUAGGAAACAUUUUGGUAGAAGCUUGUCUUUGUGGAGUGGAAGUUUAUCUUAUUAGCUCUUUACUUUAUUUUGGUUUAGUGUAAUUAACCAUUUAUGUUUUAGGUAAAGUUUUUGGUUUUUUGCCAAGCAAGAGAAGUAUAAGAUUUAAGAAGUGAAAAAAGAACAGAGAGAUUUAAGAUUUUCAUGCACUGACGAUAUAUGUACUAACUGAUUUAGAUACAUAUCAUAUAGACAAAAAUUUAGUUCUAAAAUUCAAAUUGAGAUAAUACAGCAUGCAUUUAAAUUUAUCGAUAUAUAAAAAACCCAGGACCAAGAAUAUUAAAGUGAAAUGCGCGGAUUGUGAGUCAUGCAUGGGGUAAUUCAUGUACACUUUCGAUACAAUCAUUGUACAAUUUCAGCAUGAGCUCGUGUUGUAAUGGAUGUCAAGGUUAAUUUUUACCAUAAAUAGUCUCAAGCAAUUCGGCCAAAUAAUAAUUGAGACCUUUUAAAUCCGUUCAAGUUACUCCAUUUCAGCUUCAUUGGUCAAACGAUGCGACAGAAACAAGGAAUUUGUAUUAAUUCCCUUUUGUGAUCAGAUUAAAAAAAAUGCAUUGUUCAAGCUAUUCUUAGCCAACGUUUAUUCAUCACAAUUUUUUUUAACAUACUAGAAUUUUUUUUAAGGUCUCGAUUCUCAAUGAUAUUACAAAUUAAAUAAAGUUAAUUAAUAGAAGUUUCAAGAUUUCAUUGAUUAUUAUCUCCUUCAAAAAAUAAAAUUUCAAUCAACUUGACUUCACUGUGUGUCUCUAUUUGAACAAAGAAGCAAAAUAGAUAGUCUGCAAAAAAGAUGUGUGUUUUUGUCUAGUGAUGAUAAAAUAAGCUCAGUGGGCAAAAUGCAACUUAUCCUAAUUAUAUUCGAGUUUAGUGUAAUUGACUCUUUAGUUUGUUUCAAUUUGAUUGCGAGAAGCUGAAAAUAGUUUCUCGUCACUCCUGGGUGGAAAUUUACAUUCCUCUACUUACAACUUUUUCCACAAACAGGCCCCAGCAUUCAAAGAGAGAGGAUGAAGGCGCCAACAACAAGACAAUUCAAUUGAAAAUGCUAACCUACUUUGAGGGAUUGAGGAAUCACCCUGAAUGCCUUUCUAGCACAACUUUGAGAGAUGAUCAUAGUAUAUGAUUCCAAUUUUAGUUGUCGGUACGUAGUUGUGUCAAGAGUGUUCAGACAAAUCUCUUUGCACAUAUGUACGCAUAUAUAUGAAACUCCGUGCACUUAUGAAAAUAUAUAUAUAUAUAUAUACACACACAAGUAUGUAUGCAUAUAUGUAUAUAUACACAUAAGGAUAUACAUGUCAGUGGAAUAGGUAAGGAAUCCGAACAGUAGGUGGAAAUUUAACUCAUGAUAGUAAUUACUGAUUUUGUAUCCGCAUUCAAAUACCUUCCAAGAUUACUUAUUUUGAAGCCAAAUAUAUCAAAUAAAAUAAUUUAUCCAAACAAGCCUAUUGAGAUUAGCGAUCUUUUUAUCUUCUAAAAUCUUACAAAAAAAUUUUCAAUAGCCCAUCAUUUUGAGCAUUUCAAAAUAAAUAUUAAAUAAUAAGUAUAAUAUUUAAAAAAUAAAAAUUGCAUAAUUAGUCAAAUUCUAUUAGCCUUGGUGAGUACUUAAGCAUAGUAUUUUCAAGCUCGAGCUUGAUUUGCUACUCAAGUAUCUCGGUGCUUGACUCAACUCACUUGUAUCUAUACUUUUCCUCACCCAUAUAAUCUAAUACACAACUAAUAUGCGAUAAACACAAUAACUAAUAUGUACUUAGUCCAAACGGAAAUGGAAAAAAAUCAUAAAAUUCAGCCUUAGCAAUUUCUACAUCAAAUGUAAAUAAAAACACCUAAUUUUUAACUCUGAUGAUAAAUCCUAUUAACAUAAACAAAAAUUAAGUUGCAGUUUUCAACAAAACAUUGGUAGCAAGUUUAUAAAUCCAAACAUGUAAAGAUCAUAUAACUAAAUUUAAUUUUGAUGGAGGUUUUGUAUUAAUAUUUAGGAAAUUUCUUUUGUUCUAUCUCUUGUGAUUAAUUUUGAAAUAAAACAGAAGAAUCUAACUUUGUUACACAAAAAUCAAUCAAUGAACUAUGAGGUGGGCAACAACCUCAAACAUUUAAAACUUUGAGUAGACAGAAAAUCUAAUUACUAAGAUGACCAGUUUAAUAUUUUUUUUGUUGCAAACGAUGAUUAGUUUUAUUGCCCAAUUUUUGUAAUUACUUAUUUGGAAAUCACUUACACAAUUAACAAAUCUAAUCCCUACUGUACCCUCCCCGUUGUUGCACUUCUUUGAUCUAAAAGAUGGUACAUAAACAAUUCAAUAUUGUAAGAAAAAUAUUUGGGCAGAAGUUUGUCUUUGUAGAGUCGAAGUUUAUCUUGUUAGCUCUUUACUUUAUUGUGGUUUAAUGUAUAUAACCCUUUACAUUUUGGGUAAAGUUUUUUUUUUCACUGGCAGAGGAAGGGUGAGAUUUGAAAAGUAAGAAAAGAGUGUGUAGAUUUAAAGUUUUUAUAUAUUGAUAGUAUAUAUAUUAGCAGGUUUAGAUACAUAUUAUAUAAAUAAAAAUUUAAUUUUUAAAUUCAAAUUAAGAUAAUAUAAAAUGCGUCCAAGCCGGUCAAUAUAUACAUUUGCGACGUAAAAAAGAUUAAUCUUUACUUUAUUGUAACUUGAUUGCUAGAACAAUUUCCUGUCGCUCUUGUCUGGAUACUGUACUAGUAUUCGUACAAUCAUUUAGAAUAUUUUCCACACAACAGGACCCAGCAUUCAACGAAAGAAGAUGAAGACCCAGCACCAAUAAAUUCAAAUGAAAAUGCCAGGGAACUCCCAUGCAAUUGAAUAACAUUCAAUUUGCCAGCAAACCAUUUCAUCCUACCGCACCGAUUGUGCGGUCAUGCCGUCAUGCAUGGGGCAGUUCAUUUGCGCCUUCGACGCAAUGAAUGUACAAUUUCAGCAUGAGCUUAAGUUGUAAUGAUUAUGUAAACAAGUGUCAAGCUUAAUCUUCGUCAUAAAUUGUCUCAAAUAGUUAGACCUUAUAACAAUUGAGACCUUUUAAAUCCAUUCGACUUACUCAUUUUCAGCUUCCUUAGUCAAAAAAUUUAACAAAAACCUCUCUUGAGGUUUUUGACAAUUUAACCAAGCUCCUUUCAAAUUUAAGAAAUUACACUGACCUCCCUUGGUAUGAUAAUAUGACUAUAAUGUCCUUCUCUUAAUAGAUAAUUCACAAUAUGAUGCAAGGGUUAAAUAAAACCAAGAAAAAGAAACUCUAGCUCUUUUAUUAUCCACCAACAACCAUUCUUUCUUUCUUCAUUUCUCUCACUCUUGUAAUUAAUGAUUCUUUCUUCCUUUCUCCUUUUGCCUCUAUACCUUUCCUCUCCUCUUACCUCUUCUCUAUAUCCACAGCUCUAUUUAUCUUAAUGAUGACCUACCGUACCAUAACCAUCUUUGUUUACUUGCUAAAUAUGUCACUAUUUUACUUGCGGGAGCAGAUUUCAUUGUCAACUAAAGAGAAAUGAAUAUGCUUGCAGUGAUGAUAAUAAAAUAAAUAAUGCAAUUGAUAACUAAGAAGCAUGGAAGAGGAGGGAUUAGUGGGAAAAUUGUUGGAUUGAUUAUUAUCCUAAAAACUCGUGUAGGAUGUUAAUAAAUGCAUUUGAUUUUCUUUACUUGAUUAAUAUUGUUGGUUCUAGUUUUGUUAUGAAUGGCUUUACUCUAUUUUGCGAUGUUAAUAUAUAUUCCUAUGGAGGUCGGAGUAUUAUUCUACUGGUGGUUGUAGGGUGGAUUAUCUUUUGUUUUGUGACAGUGCUGGGUAUUAAAUUGAAGUUUAGAGGUUAUGAGUUUGCUUAUUGGUUGUCAAAAGAGAAUUGAUUUUUCAAAAAUAUUUAGGCGAAGAUGAUAUUACAAGACAAAGAUUAGGAUUUUUGAAGUUGCUGAAAUUCUUGAACUGUUCAAAGGGUUUGCUUGGUGGGUUUGUCGCAUGCUUGGAAAUCAUUAGAUUUGGCGUUAGAGUUUGAAGUGUUUGCUUAGUGAUGGUGUUGUUGCAAAUUUGGAAGAAAGUGUUGAGAAAACUAAUUUUCUUUUUUUUUUUAUAGAAUAAGAGUAGUUUAAGGUAUUUGAGGAAAAAUCUAGCCUGAUGGGUCUGUCUUGUUUAGGGAUGGCAACGGGGCGGGGUUGGGGCGGGGACCCCUCCCCCGCCCCCCGUCCCCCGCCCCGUCCCCGCCUCCUGCUCCUCCCGCCCCGCCCCGCCCCCGCCCGGCCUUGCCCCGCUUCCCCCGCGGGUGUCCCCGCGGGGUUAAUACAAUUUUAUUAUAUAAUUUUAUUAUAAUUAAAUUUUAAUAAAUAAUCAAGUACUAAAAUAUCAACACAUCACCAAAUUAUUAUUCAUCGUAAUUUUACAAUUGAAACUCAUAAAAACAAUCAAACAGAAGUUAUUUGAAUACAAUCCAAUAUGAUAAAAUAAAUAUAAUUAAAAUAAUCAAGUUUUCACUUUUAGUACAAAUGCAAUCACUAAUUCAUUAUUGUGUUUGUGCUUUUUUUUGAGAAAAAAGUGUUAUUCUAUUAAGUGUAAUUAGAAAUUUAGUAUAAAUGUAUUAGUAAAUUUAGUAUAACUAAUUAAUAAAUUUUAUUAGUAGACAUGUAUAAUUAUUCAUAUAAUUGAUAAUAUCAAUUAUAUUACAUAAACUAAUAUAUAUUAUAUAAUACAUCUAACUAAUAAUAUCAUUAUCAUAAGUUUAUAACUAAUUAACUUACAUAUUAUAUAUAAUUAUACAUAUAUUUAUAUAUAUAUAUAUAUAUAUUUUUUUUUUUUUUUGUUUUGCGGGUGGCGGGGCGGGGGUAUACUCCCCCACCCCCGCCGCCCCGCCCCCGCCCCAACCCCGGCCCCAGAGCCCCCGCGCGGGUACCCGCCCCCAUUGCCAUCCCUAGUCUUGUUACCUAAAUAGUAAAAGUAAGGGAACUAGAGGUAAUUUCUAAAAUUUGAGGGAAACUCUUUGCAACUGUUAGAUACUCAAGGUCAAGGGAGGUUUGUGAAAUUAUCCCUUCCUUUUAAACAUACUAGGAUGCAGAAUGGGAAUAGCCCACCAAUCCCUCGUGACAUUGGACUCAACAUUCUUGGUUGCGUAAAAUUUAAGGUCUUAAUUCUCAAUGAUAUUACAAAUUAACUAAAGUUAAUUAAUAGAAGUUUCAAGAAUUCAUUGAUUAUUAUCUCCUUCAAAAAAAAUAAAAUAAAAGUUCAAUUAAUUUGAGAUCACUUUGUGUCUCUAUUUUGAACCAAGAAGCAAAAUGGCUAGUGUGAAAAAAAGAUGCGUGUCUUUGUCUCAAGUGGGCAAAAUGCUGCUUAUCCCUAAUUACAUUCGAGUUUAGUGUAAUUGGCCCUUUAUUUUGUUUCAAUUUGAUUGCGAGGAGCUGAAAACACUUUGUUGCGAGGAUUUUUUUUCUCCACACAACGGGCCCCAGCAACAAGACGAUUCAAGUGAGAAUGCCAACCAACUUCCUCGAAAAUAAAUUUGAAAAUUUUUUUGCCAACAAACAACUGCCACUACACGGAUUGAGGGCUCAUGAUCUGUCACAUAAUUAUUGUUAUUUCUUGGCGUAUUGCUGGGUUGAUGCAUGAAUUACCAAACGGUUUAACAAAAACAAGGAAUGUGCAUUAAUGCCCCAUUUUUUUAAAAUUAGAUUACAAAAAUGGAUCGUUCCAGUUACUCUUUUUUGAAUAUAUUAGGAUGUAUGGUGGAAAUGGCAUACCAAGCACCGAUGAUUGAGGCUAUUUAUGUAAUGUUAACACUAAAGUUGUUAAUUUAAAAUAACGUUGAUAUUUAAAUAUAUCUGACAGGUGCCGAACCUGUGCAAUAAUAAAUACCUACUCGAGAAAAAUACAGAUUUUGCAUAUAGCGGUGAGUAGGGUCGAAUCCACAGGGACUGGGGAUAAUUCGUUUCUUCUAGAGUCCAGAGUAUGGGGGGUUUUGGAUUAUAUGCUAACUAAAUAAAUUAACUGCAGAAAAUAAUUAAUUCAAAGAAAUAAUUAAGGGAAAACUCUAGCCAAGGGUACAUUUCAGAAAUGGUUCAGGCACUGAUCAUUGAUUCACACAUAAUUCCACAUUUAUUAAUAGACCAGUUAUAGUUGUCAUGCACGCGAUAAACAACCAACCUUUCCUUAAUUUCUCGAUAGUUAAGGUACGACCGUUAACUAUUUCUCUAACCCAAAAACAACCCUAGGUACGACCGUAGGAUUUAAUUUCUAGAUUGCAUUAAUAAUUAGAAAGGCCCAAUCCUAACUAACAAACACGCUACGAGGGUUUUUUUAAGUUAGAUCGUAUGCUCCCUGACAUAAACCCAAUUACGCCAGUUGCUACUGAGAUAAAGAUAACGAACAAUUACGGAUUCAAUUAUCCCUAUUUAGCAAAAUAGCCUAUGUGAAUAAUUAAAUAUUGCGCAUCUAUUCAAUCACUCACACGAGCUAUAGCAAUUAAAAGCAGGAAACAUAUAAAUACCAAUAAAUUAAGGAAGCAAUUAAAAUAAAUUAGAUCUCACAGUAAUUGUUGAACCAAAUCUUCAGUUGUCCCCUUGACUAGAAUUAAGAUGUUAGUCCUCCAUUAAUGGAGAACAACCAUGCGAAAGAGCUAAGAGAAGAAAACUAAAAACUAAACUAAAAAAACCUAAAACUAGUGAUUGAUAAGAGUUCUCUGUACGUUUGUCUCCUUUUUAAAGCCAAAAAGAAGUCUAAUGCUAUCUCUAGUGGUCCCCACACCAAAUUCAAAGUCUUGUACGUUUCUUUUCCUAGAGUCCAAAUGACUCAUGCUUCUUAUCCGUGGUCCCCGCACAUGUGGACAAAACCUCCAAAGUACUUGUUGUUCCAAAUCUCUCUACGUUGCUUUCUUUGAAAAGCCCCAAAUGACUAAAUGCCUUGCACUAACUUGUGGUCCCCACCAAUUCAAGGACCCAAAGGUUGAAUCCCUUAGAAGUCUGCAUUUUUCCAUACAAGUCCCUCCUUUUUGGUAAUUUUCUGUUUCACUCCUGAAAUUGAUUCCAAAUACCAAAUAUGAGUAAAUAUCAGCAAUUAACACAAUAUUUGUCAGGGAUAGAAGGGGAAAUCAAUAAUAAAAUUACUAACAAAUUAUACCCUAUCAAUUCCCCCCACACCUGAAUCAUGCUUGCCCUCAAGCAUGGAACAACAAUUGAACACCAAAAUUCGACCAUGGCUGUUACUCCAACUACCGUAUUGCCAAGACACCAAGAAAAUCAUAUAUCAAGCGACACACGUCAAGAUCCAAGAAAAAUCACUCCGGUUAGCAUCUAAACUACCAACUCCUCCAAUUUCAAGCAAACUAAUCUAAGAAAAAGGAAUAGUUGCUCACAUUUAUCAGCAAAUGGUCCAACUAUUAAUCCAAAUCUCAACAAACCCAUAGAUCGGUAAGCUGACUUUAGACACACACUUACACAACCUUCACCUUUUUUAUCACGUUUUUCUAUUUUUCUCUUUUUUUCUUUUUUUUUUUUUUUUACUAUUUUUUUUCUUUUUCAAUAAUAACAAAAGACUUAGUUUCUAGCCAUUAGAGCCUUUUGACGCGAACUCCAACAUUUGAUAGAUGGAGGAGCCCGGUUACUCAGCUCCAAUCGCUACGAGACCAUGCACUCAUAGCAACUACUACCUUUUGACGCGAAAAUCAACACUUAAUCACUUUAGGUGAAGAUCCCCGGUUACUCAGUCAGUAGUAACACUACUAGUGAGUACUAGUCAACUCUAUUAUUUACAAUCAUAUAACACAACAACUAAAAAUAACAGCAGCCAGCCUCAAAUUCCAAACAUGGAGAACUAAAAUUAAUAAUUGGACCAAUUCACAUGAAGAAUGCCAACAAUCAUUCCCUAUCCUAGAAGAGUUAACCAAAAUUGGAAAAGUCAAGCAAGUAUUGAUAUUCACCAAAGAGAUGUUCCUGAACUCAACUACAUCAACUUGAUAUCCUUUUAUUACUAAAACUUGGCAAUAGCAGAAUUAGAAACAGCGAAUCCAGUAUCAAAACUUGGUAUUCAUAUAAAAACUGAUCACUAGUAAAAGUAAAAAGAAAAUAAACGAAAAAAUAGAACAAAUAACAACGAAAAUAAAGGAAAAAAAAACUAAAAACUGAACACCAGAAAUACAGCGUACCACAGCUCUCCCCCCACACCUAAAUCCGACACUGUCCUCAAUGGAGGUAAUAUAGCAAUUAAAGCGAAGAGAAAAACGAAACUUCCCUCUCAAGCGGCUACGGCAUAGGCGGGAACGGGGGAGUGAAGCAGACAUGGUGGAAGUACGCGGCCAGGUUCUUAGAGAUUGGAGCCACCUGGUUGGCGAUAUGCAUUACUUGCUCAUCCGCGUGGUGAACCUGAUCUCGGAAGUGGCGCCACUUAGCAUCAGAGGCCAUCGGUGGGAGAGGCCACUUAGCAAAUUCAAAACAAUAACAAUUUAAUAGCCACUGGUGCCUCCCUCGUAGACAACCCAAUCAACAAAAUGCACAACCUAGGCACCUAGAGACUAUACAAAUAUCCCAACAAUACAGCAAUUUGAAUGAAUAUGCACUGGGUCUCCCAUUCAGUCAAAAUAAGAUCAAGGGGCACGAUACAGAAACUAACAAAGCAGAACUAGGGGAAAGGGGAAAGCAGCGGGGAAGAAGGAAGAAAGAAAAAGAAGAAAGAAAGAAAGAAAGAAAAGAAAAAGAAGGAAAGAAAAAAGAAAAGAAAAAAAAAUAGUUUUUUGGGAUUUUUUUUUUUAGUUUAGAAUUUGAAUUUUCCAAAAUAAAAUCGCAGGUUACAAUGGAAAGUAUUUUUUUUUAUUUUUUUCUAAAAAAAAAAUUUUUUUUUUCAAUAAAGAGAAAUAUAAAAAUAUAAAAAUUUUUCUUUUGUCUUUGGGUCGUCAAACACCGCGUGGGCACGCCAAGAUUGACAAACGUCCACUGAUCUCAAGAGUCACAAACACCGCGUGGGCACGCCAAGAUUGCACUUCCUGCCACAGUGGAGAAAAAUAUGAAGAUCGAUUACUACUCAACUGAGAAACGAAAAACGAAAGAAAUGAACAACGAAAAAUAAUAAAAUCAAUAUUUGGGUUGCCUCCCAAAAAGCGCCUUUCUUUAAUGUCUUUGGCUAGACAUUAUUAUGUUUUUUUUUCAUGGAGGAUAAAAUCGUGUGGCUCGUCUCAAUGCUUCAUCUUCAAUGUGAUCCUGGUAAUCCUCAUAGAUGGAGUAAUCUUUGAACACACGAGCUACGGUCUUCCAUGGAGUAGUAGAUGGCGCCAAAUAAUCAAGCAGUGAUCUCAAUUCUUCAUCCACUCCUCCAUCAAGAGCACUCAACGGUUCAAGAUAUUUGACCAUAGAUACUCUUAACUCAUUCCUGCCAUGAGACUCAAGAACUUCCGGUAUAACAAAAUCAAUCUCAUUAACAGAAAUUGUAGAGUCAGAGUUAAGAAAAUGCGGGUUAGGGAAUGGAGAUAGUGUCACCACAUUUGAUGAUUCUUCACUGGAUUCUUUCACUUGAAUGGGUUGCGGUUGGGGUUCCAUUUCUUCCUUUUCGGCUUCUUUUUCAACUGCAUCUGUACAUCUCUCUUCUUGAAAAUCUUGCAGCUCCUCAUCACUAGUCAGGCGAAUUGCACUCUCAUUUUCAACAAUGGUUUUCGAGGGCAAUUCUUCAAAUUGAGAAGCCAGUCGAUUUAUUCUGAAUGUCAAUAGACACAUUUGAUCUUCCAGAUUACUCAUUGCCUCCUUCAUCAUCUCAUUUCUCCUUUGUGUCUCCUGUUGAAAUUGAUAUGUAUUAAUAGCUAUUGAUUCAACUAUUUCUUCAAGAGACAUACCUGACAUAGAUGACGAUUCUUGAGACUCAUACUGCUGAAAAUUCAUUGGCCCCGUUGUAUAAUUAUAAUCGGAGUUAUCCCACCAUUCUUGAUCAUACCCGUUUGGAUUAGGGUUAUACCACGUUUGAGACCAGGGUGAAAAAUCUCCAUAAUUAUUGAGGGGGACACUCAGAUUAUCUUGAUAUUCGGGGCACAUACCGGUUGAAUGAUCCCUGGCAUAACAAAUUUUACAGGUUGCAGCAGCCAUUCUUUCUCUAAUAGAGUUUAGUGCCUCUGAAUAUGCAAACUUAGCAAAAAAACUAGUCUCAUCGCCUUCCCCGGAAACAAGAUCCAGACUAUCACCAAAAUAUGGAGUGUUAGAAGCCAUAAACUAUAUAAAAAAAAUAUGAGAAAAAUAAAAAAAAAUAAAAAAUAAAAAAUAAAAACAAAAUGAACUAAAAAAGAAACAAAUUAAUCUGACACCAGUCCCCGGCAACGGCGCCAAAAAUUGACAGGUGCCGAACCUGUGCAAUAAUAAUUACCUACUCAAGAAAAAUACAGAUUUUGUAUAUAGCGGUGAGUAGGGUCGAAUCCACAGGGACUGGGGAUAAUUCGUUUCUUCUGGAGUCCAAAGUGUGGGGGGUUUUGGAUUAAAUGCUAACUAAAUAAAUUAACUGUAGAAAAUAAUUAAUUAAAAGAAAUAAUUGUGGAAACUCUAGCCAAGGGUACACAUCAGAAAUGGUUCAUGCAACUGAUCAUCGAUUCAAAUAUAAUUCCAACAUUUAUUAAUAGAUUAGUUAUAGUUGUCAUGCACGCGAUAAACAACCAACCUUUCCUUACUUUUUCGAUAGUUAAGGUACGACCGUUAACUAUUUCUCUAACCCAAAAACAACCCUAGGUACGACCGUAGGAUUUAAUUUCUAGAUUGCAUUAAUAAUUAGAAAGGCCCAAUCCUAACUAACAAACACGCUACGAGGGUUUGUUUAAGUUAGAUCGUAUGCUCCUCUGACAUAAACCCAAUUACGCCAGUUGCUACUGAGACAAAGAUAACGAACAAUUACGGAUUCAAUUAUCCCUAUUUAGCAAAAUAGCCUAUGUGAAUAAUUAAAUAUUGCGCAUCUAUUCAAUCACUCACACGAGUUAUAGCAAUUAAAAGCAGGAAACAUAUAAAUACCAAUAAAUUAAGGAAGCAAUUAAAAUCAAUUAGAUCUCACAGUAAUUGUUGAACCAAAUCUUCAGUUGUCCCCUUAACUAGAAUUAAGAGGUUAGUCCUCCAUUAAUGGAGAACAACCAUGCGAAAGAGCUAAGAGAAGAAAACUAAAAACUAAACUAAAAACCUAAAACUAGUGAUUGAUAAGAGUUCUCUGUACGUUUGUCUCCUUUUUAAAGCCAAAAGGAAGUCUAAUGCUAUCUCUAGUGGUCCCCACACCAAAUUCAAAGUCUUGUACGUUUCUUUUCCUAGAGUCCAAAUGACUCAUGCUUCUUAUCCGUGGUCUCCGCACAUGUGGACAAAUCCUCCAAAGUACUUGUUGUUCCAAAUCUCUCUACGUUGCUUUCUUUGAAAAGCCCCAAAUGACUAAAUGCCUUGCACUAACUUGUGGUCCCCACCAAUUCAAGGACCCAAAGGUUGAAUCCCUUAGAAGUCUGCAUUUUUCCAUACAAGUCCCUCCUUUUUGGUAAUUUUCUGUUUCACUCCUGAAAUUGAUUCCAAAUACCAAAUAUGAGUAAAUAUCAGCAAUUAACACAAUAUUUGUCAGGGAUAGAAGGGGAAAUCAAUAAUAAAAUUACUAACAAAUUAUACCCUAUCA
rnacentral:lncRNA from 1 species